CCACCACUCUGGUGUCCCUUCAAUUGUCUUUAAACUGUUUCUUGCACUGUUUGAAUCCAAUGGCAGCUUCCUUAGGUUUGGGCAUUCCAUCACGCAGAGGGUUUUCAAGGAAGGAAAUGGCAAAGCUUGUCUACUUAUGCUCCUUAGAUUUGGUAGGAGAUAUAAUCUCAAAUCUUCAAGUCUUGAGAAUAUGCCAAGAUUUUCAGGGACCCCACUCGCAUCACCUAUCACUUCUUCCAUGGAUUCACAUCCAUGUACAAUAAGACGUUCAAGACUUGGGAUGUAAAUAAGCCAUGUCAAGUCCAACAACUUUGGAAGUUGAUUAACAUGUACCCCGUGGAGGUUGUAGAAAAUUGAGUUUGGCAUAGAAUUUGCUACAAAUCCCCGUCUACCCCUCUCAUUUUCUAGGUUGACUUUUAUGUCUUGUAGCUCCCCACAUCUAUAUACUGUAAGGCUACGCAGAUGUUUGAUUCUUGGCAAUUGGAGUAUGCUCAUACCUUCCAAGUUCCAAAGUUCUAAAUCUCUCAUAGCAUUCAGUAAUUUUUGGGAGUUUAACAACUUUUGGAAAGACAGAGCACCUAUAAUGGGCAAAGAGACCCAAUUUAUGUGCUCCAACCCUUCUAACUCCUCUAAUAAUGCUUUAUUAUCCUCAUGUAAAUAAAUAGCCUUAUCAUCCUUCCUUGAAUAAUUGGCUUCCUCCUUCUCCUCCUCCGUGGAUGACGAAAUAUAAUUUCUUUUUGACAAGAGAUAUUUAAAUAUUGUGCUAAAAACUCUCAACAUUGAGAGAUGUGAUAUUACUUCCUUAGAAAUUAUUUCAAGACUACCAUCUAAUAUCAGAUAUCUUAGUCUUUUCAAAGUCGCAAGCUCCACAGACAAUUCUCUUAGAUCUGUAUUUGAAAAAUUGAGAUAUUGUAGUGUAACUAAUUUACCAAUUCCAGCAGGUAAUUUAGUUAUUCCAGUAUUUGACAAAUCCAAAACUUUUAUAACCGGCAUGAAAUGGAAGAAUCCACUUGGAAAUGUUUCCAGGUCUUCAUUCCCAACAAUUAAAGUCAAGAGAUUGGGAAAAGAUAGUGGUAUAGUGAGUUCUUCCAAACUAGUUGACAGGUAUAGCCGAUGUGCCUCUUUCCACUUUGAAACUUGGUAAACUUCCAAAGUAUCAACUUCUUCUACCAAGAUUAUGUUCUUAUUGCCCCUAUAUUCUGAAGCUAACCAUAAAGCCAUAUCACGAAUGACAUCAUGCAUUUUAACCCUAUCAAAUCCAUCAUUCUCGAAUAGACAUACUGUCUUUAGAUGCUCAAUGAUGUGGUGCCCUUGGUUAAAUGCUUCAUCUAUGCUAGCAAAUCCAUCCAAAAACCCUUCUCCAAUCCAAAGGAAUAUAAGAUCCUGAUUCAAAAUUUGAUGGUCCUCUGGGAAUAUAGCAAGAUGUAAAAAACAAGUCUUGAUGGUGUCAUUUGUCAAGUUAUCAUAACUGAAUUUGAGGACCGGAAAUACAUGAUCUCCCAUACCUGAAAACUUUGAUGGGUAAGUCCUCAACAUUUGUAUUGCUCGCUCCCAUUCUUGUGGAGUCUUCUUGUCAGCCAUAGCUCUCCCAAUAGUGACGAUUGCAAGUGGUAAGCCUUGGCAUUCUUUAGCAGCAAUUUCAGCAAGUUGGGGUAUAUCCGAAUGUGAAUUUAGAGUAGUCUCUCCAACCUUCUUCUUGAACAAAUUAAUAGCCUCAUCUUCUGUCAAACACUCCACCUUGAGGCUUUUUUGAGCCUCCAUAGCCCGACAAACAUCCAGAGAACGGGUUGUUAAUAUUACUUUAGACUUGUUUUGGGAAUUAGGAGAAGGAACCCCAACUUUUUGGAGAUGAAGCCGCUCCCAUACAUCAUCUAGCAGCAUCACUAACCUUUUUGCCUUCAAGACAUUGAAAAUUGCUACUGCCUUUUCAUCCUCGGUUCUGUUUCUCCAUCUGUCUUCAGGAAUGUCUAACUUGUUGCGAAUGACUUGUACUUUUUCCACACUUGCUGGCCUGGAUACUACUACCCAAAUGGCGAUUUCAAAGAUCUUGCUCGCUCUGAUGAACUCAUUAUUCACUUUGGUCAUGAGGGUAGUUUUCCCGGCACCCCCAUACCGUACAACCCAAUAAUUCCCAGCUCCUCAUCUUGGAUGCAUCUGCAAACCUCUGUAAACAUCAGAUCUAAGCCCACAGUCUUCUCCAUCGGCCUCUCAUCCACCGGAGCUUGAGGUAACCUAUCAGCCACAACAUCAAAGCGUCCCUUGUUCCUUAAUUCAGUCACAGCACCCAGCUUUUUACUCGCUUUCUUCCCAAGCUUGUAGCUGGACCGGCAGUUUCUGGUGCAACAAGUUCCAGGGCAUUUCUUCUGGAUUUCCUGAUCGCCUUUCUCCAGGAUCUCGUUGACUUCUAGUUCCAUUGCUAGGACGCUAUGGAGCCAGCCGUUCACUUCAUUUGUGCGCUUCAUUUGCCGUUGCUCUUCAAGUUCAACUCUUCCCUUCACAUCCUGGUAUGCGUUCUUCAGCUCCUGCAUUGCGUUUCUUAACGAGUCCAUAUUUUCCUGCAGAUCCCUGAUGUAGACUGCAUGCUUGGCUGUGCAGUUCCAUACGCGAGUGACAACAUCCAAGAUUGGGCUCACACAAUCCAUUCCUUGUCUUGAGAGAUGAAAUUCAACGAAAAAACAGAAAAUGGAGAGAUGGGUUUUGUGGGAGAGCAGCAGACUUUUUUUUUUUUUUUUGUCGAAACAGUUCUCUCUCUCUCAAUGAGAGACUUCUAUGGUCCCAUGCACGCGGUAGGUACCGAAGCGUGAAUUCCCUCUGUUGGAUAAGUAAAUCCAAUCAAGGCCGUCUAUUUGUUAGAGGGACAGCAAUAAUAUUAGUAUUUAAUUUCUUGUUCAUCAAAGCUGAAUAAAAAGGGUUAAGAAAUUAAUGAAUGGAUACAUUUCUCAUUUUAAUUUUUAAAAAUAAUUUUAUUUUUUAUUUUAUAAAAAGUAGCUACAUAGCUUGUGUAGUUGAAAAUAUUGAAAGUAAAAUUUUUCAUUUUUUAAAUUUUGAGAAAUUUUUUUAACAACGUAAUGGUAAAUUUUCGUUUUUUAAUAAAAGUUGUAAUAUUUUAUAUAAGAAUAAAGUAAAGAAUAAAAAGUGCAUCCAAUGAGUAUAAAAGUGAACGAGAAAAACCGUAACAUAAAAAAUAAUUUUAAAAUUAUAAUAUUUUUCAAUUUCAAGUAGGCUUUGUCUUUUAAACAUAUAAAUUCAGUAUAAAAGUGAACUUGUUUUUCAAACAAUGAGUUCAAUGUAAAUAAAUUUAUUUUUUAAAAAAAUGGUUUUAAUAUAAAAAUUUUUAGGAUAAAAAAGGGAUUUGUGUUUUGAAAAGCCGAAUUCAAUAUAAAAAAUGAAUUUGUUUUUUAAAAUGAGGAGUUUAAUGCAAAAAUAAAAGAAAUAAUGAAAAAUAUUAUAUUUGUAUAUUUAUUUUUUAAAUAAUUAUAUUUUAAUAAUAUUUUUUUUAAAUGAAUAAAAAAUCAGGUGGGUAGUCUUGGGUAUUGGCGCCACAAUCUGUCGUGGGCUCUAAAAAAAAUAUAUAUAUAUAUUUUUUUUGCUGUCCAAGACAUAGAAAGAAGAAAAGAUAAUAGAAUAAGUGAUUUGCCCAAAUUUCAAUCCACUAAAGGUUCCUUUUUAUAUGGCCAUUUGCAGAUUCAUUAAGCCUCUAUUUCAAAUUUAUUAUUUCCAAUUACGUAUUCUGCUUCAACUAUCAUUUUAAUUAAUUAUUAAUUAUUUGUUGGACUUUUGGUCUAAUAUCAUUUCAUGAUGGAUAGGGUUUUUGGAGGUACCGGGCUUAAUGGGUCCCAUGGGUCCGCCCUUUGGAGGUACCGGGCUUAACCCAUUCGGUUAGCCGAUACCCCUUUGUAGAACCAAAGCCUUUGCCGAAAGAGUAACUAGAAUAAUCACGCGAUCUGGGUAGUUUUUCCCGAAUGCAAUGGUUCUUGAAGUUGAGACGGUAAGCUGCUAGCCAAAAGAGAAUGGCACCACCUCACCCGGAUCAAAGGGAGAUAGCCACCAGGGCAGUGUGCCCGAAAAAUCAAGGCCUGGAUCUCCCAAGAGCCCUACUAGUCGAUCCGGGAGAGUUGAACAUGUCCGGGAGCACCGUACCGACUUGCACUCUGACUCAUGUGGCAUAAACACCAAAGGAAUUGCGACAAGACUAGUACAAGGAACGAGAGGCGAAGGAACAAAAGGGCAGUGACAAGAUUAGUAUGAGGAACAAGAGGCUGCAACUAGAUUGAUAUGAGGAGCAAGUCCUAAAGCAAAGCUCUAACCGGUCUUGUUACCAACAAGUUCCAGUGGGCUUAGCCAUGCACCGCUUGACACGGUUCCAUCCACCCAACUGUGGACGCCAUGCAACCUUUGAUGUCCGCCCUCUUGACACACCACUCGACCAAUCAGGUGAUGAUGGUUCGGAAUCCCUAUAAAAUGAGAAGAAGAAGAAGCGAAAAGAGGUUUUUUGGUCUGACACAGAAAACCAAAGGCACAAAUUAGAAGAGAAGGUCGAGCUUGAGGCAAUCUAGUGCCGCGAAUAGUCAUCAAAUCCUCACAUCCAGAAAAGUUGUGCACCAACAGUUUUUGAAUGAAAAAUGCUUAUACUCUAAAUAAAUGCACCAAGAAUACAACAUUACUCUAUUCAUAAUCUUUAACAAUUUUUGAAAGCAAAUUGCUUAUACUCUAACACUAUGUUUGGUUCCAUAAAAUUAAAGGGAAAAUAUGAAAAAAAGAAAAUAAAGAGGAAAUAGAGGAAAAAUAAGUAAAGAAAAAUAAAAAAUAAAUUUAAAAUUAAUAAAUUAUAUUUAUGUUUCUUCAAAUUCAUUUAACUUAUUUUUCUUAAUAAUAUGAAAAUUAAAUAAUUUUAAAAUGCAUCAAUUUCUAACUAAAUUUAGUUAUGUUUGAUUUUCUUUCCGUAUUUUCUAUAGUGAAACUAAACAUAAGAAAAUUAUUUUCUUUAGUAUUUUCCAAAAACCAAAUAGAGUGUAAAUAAAUCUGUUCAAAUAUUUCUAUAAUGAUACAAUUCACUUUGCAUGUAAAUGUUCAAAAAAUGAAAGCUUUCAACAUUUCAAUUAGGGAUUCUUCAUACUAUUUUGCUCUUUUGUGACUUCACCUUUUGGUGGAACCAGUUAACUUUCUUAUGGCUUUAAAUUAAAAUUUGCAAGUAUAUGAAAUAUAUUGAAAUUUUUAACAAAAUCUAAGUAGAAAGAUAUAUUGAAAGGGUUUAUAUAAGCCUCCAAGCUUUAAGGAAUCGGUAUAUCGAAUUUUUCAAAAACAAUUUUCACAAAUUUUCAAAAAAUAUUCUACCAUAUUCUUGUAGAUUCACGAUGAGUGCUCAAGUGCACUUACUACUUGAAUGCUUCAAGAUCUUGAGCACUGGAUAAACGUUUGAACGAUUCCAAUACUUAAACACGACUUCCACCGCUUGAGUGCCCCCUACUUUUUUAAAAUAAUAAAUUAAUCAUUUUUAGUUCAAGAAUAAUACCGAUCUUCCCUAACCUUUAAAUGCCUAACUUGCUACUAACCAAAUCUUUUUAGACAUAUCUAUAACUUUCCAAUUGAGCAGAUAACAACCUUAAAUCUUCAAUAAAGAGUAAGUCAAUAUCUAAAAAGUUUUCUAAGUAAGAAAAUAAUUAAAACAAAAUUGUGAACUUAUAAUGUGGACUCAUUAUCCUAAGAAUUUAUAUUUUAAAUUAGAUGAAUAUCUUAAUUCCCUUAAGUGAAGUUACUUAUAUCUAUGAGCCUUUAAAAAAAAAUGCAAAAGAAAAGAUUCCAAGCAUGAGAAAAAAUGCCCUUUGAAAAUAAAAAAAAUAAUUUCAUGAAUUGGAAAGGAAAUAGAAAAGAAGUCACAACAAAAUUAAUGUAAUGGAAAAUUACAAUAUUUGCAUUCACAUCCAAAAGUCAUGUGACUAUUUUUAAUCCAAAAACAUUAUUCUCCUUGCAUUUCUAAUUUAUAAGAAAAAAAAAACACAAGAAAUAAAGUUGAAUGGAGUGAAGGUUGGUAAUUGUGGAUAAUAAUAAGAGAUUCUGCUUAUUGGGAAAGGUUUUCUAAAAUAAUUCUCAGAAAAAUAAAUUUUAAAAUUAAUUUUGUGAUAUUUUUUUUUAAAAAAGUUUAUAUGGGAACAUACAACACUCUUAACUUAUUUUUUGUAUUUCCAUAUAUUUCUUAAAAAUAACUUUUAUUUCUAAUGUUUUAUUUUUAGUCAUUCUUGUAUUUGUAAAAUUAUUUUUUAAAAUAAAUAUUACAAAAUGAAAACAACUAAAAAUAAUUUAAAUAUAUUCUAAAAAAAACUAUCAUAUUUUCAAGAGCCUAUUUUAGGAAAUUUGAUUUUUCUGAAAAACAAUCUCAAACAUAAUGCUUAUGUCUCAUUUAGGCCUCUUAUGAUGGCAUGAGGAAUGUCUUAUUUUAGAUAAGCAAAAAUAAAAUCAUUUUUUCGAUUGUAACAUAAAAAUAAUACAAAAACAAGUUUCUUACCAUGUUUUUUUAAAAACAUAUCUUGAAAAGUGCUUUUUUUUUUUUUUUUUUUUAAAAUGUUAAAAUACAUUUUUAAAAAUUCAAGCACCUCAAUAACCGAAAAUAAUAGCAUAUGUCUUCAUUGCUUCUAUUAUUCAAAAUGAAAAUAUUUUUAAUUAAAACUUAUUUUAUGUUAUCAAACAAAUAUGAUGAAAAGUAAAAAAUUAUUAAUUAAAUAAAAAUAAAGAAACACUUUCUUUUCUCUAAACCUAUCAAAUAAUUUUUCAAGCAGUAUCUUAAACAUUUUUUUUUCUUUUUAUCUUUUAAAAUGACAUAUUAGAAAGGUUUUCAAAGUUUUGUUAAGAAAAAAAAAGGUAGACAAAAUUUGUUUUGAUAGAAUGGUUUUAAAAAAAAUGGCAACUAAAAUUUUAAUAAUAGUAAAAAUAAAUAAAAUUAUUCAUUUAUUUAUUUUUUCAAGUCCUUCCUCCAUAAUCGUACUGUAGUCGCCUACAAUUUGUUAUUUAUUUUAAAAUUAGAGUUUUUUUUUCUUAAAAUCCCUUGUGAGGACAUGGUUACUGACGCAUGCUUAUGUCCUAAGGUGUUAGGAUGAAGAAUGUUUCAGUUUGGUGCUAGGUAAUGUAAAUAACCUCGAUGUCUGAGAUCCAACCCUCUCCAAUUAAAAGGGGCCCUUUUAAAUGCCCUCGACCUCUUGGUCUAAAACUCCUAACCUACUCUACUAAAUUCAUAAUUUUAGAGAAUAUAUAUUAGAACCUAUAUAAAGUAUGUUAUUUUAAAAACAGAGUUGGUAAAAUAUUAUCUAAAGUUCAUUUCAAAAACUAAGUUCAGUUGUAAACCAUUCUUGAUACAAGCACUCAAACUAGUUGAAGCAUAUUACUGGACAUCUUACAUUGGUUUGAGGUGUAGUAACUUUUCACUUUGCACUUCAUACACAAUACAAACAUACAAGAGAUUUUUUGGCUCAACUUUAUAUUGUAGUAACAAAAACUUUAAUGUAAAAAUAUUAGUUCAAGAAAAAAAAUAAAAUAAUGCACACAAGUAUAUGUUAGGAUAGAGACUUCAAAAAUAUGACAUGAUGUAAUAGAUUUGAAAUUCAUUAUUUAUUUAAUGAUAUUUCAAUUUCACUUUUAUCUAUCCUUAUUCUAUGCAUUGUAUUUUAUGAACAUUUUCUUUUAUCAUCUCUUGCAUUGUAUAUGAUUUGGGUGCAUUAGGAGUUGUACAAAAGAUCCAAGUCAUAAGUUCCUUGCAAAUAGUUGAUUUGCUUAUAAUUGGUUCAUGAAAUUGAGACUAUAAUACACCACCUUUUAAUUGGAGGGAUGGAUGGUCUUGGUCAUCGAAAUAGGGUUCCCAUGGUAAGUGUACUAGUGUGUAUGGUUACAUAUUGGACAUGACCUAUAAUGAGUAAAGACAUAAGGCUAUCGAGUAAUCAUGACUUCACCAAGAUGCUACACUGUAUCGUCUUUCAACUUUGAGAGAAUAUUGAGCUUGUGUUAAAGUUACCAUGACUUUAACUUAUGGGUGAGAUCUUGAAGUGAUCAUGUAGUCCCUAUGGAUUGGGUCAUUGCUAAUGGAAGUCAGUAACAAUAGAUAUUCUUAAUAGAGACACCAAAAUAUCUCAUGAACUUUGAGACUAUGUGUCUCCUUAGGUGAUUCUAAGGAUGCGUGAUCAUGAAAUUUGUGGUGUUGUAGUAAUUUAUUUAGUAAAAUUUGACACAUGCUCUUAGUGAGUAAUAGUAUGUUAUUUGAUCACAUAAUAAGAAGAUUUAUAAUUCAAGUAUGGUAGAGGUAAUCUUGAUAGACUAAUAGUUGUCACUUUGUUAGAUUAUGGAUACCAAUUCAUAGGAACACUAUAUACAGUGGAUAGCAAGUCACAAACUCAAUCAUUUAGUGUCUCAUUAUGAUAUACAUAGGGUAGUAUAGUGCAAUUGAUUCUCUAUGAUGAAAUGUUGAGUUAAUUUUAGAAUUGGAUUCUAAGGGAACUAUUAUUGUCCUAUAAGUCUUAGUGGUCCUUGCCCGACUUCAUAUUCUUUGAUGACAUAGUUUAUAAGAGUUUGAUGGAUUUUUAGUUCACUUAUGUGCAUAAUGACAUUUUGGUAAUUAUGUAAGGUUGCACAAGGGUGAGUGAACGGUAUCUUUGAAUAGGACUAAUUGAUUAAUUUGAGUCUUAUUGAAUUAAUUAAUUAAUUAGUAACCUUUUUGAGUUAUAUUAAGUGACUCAAACUCUAUUAUGGGUUCAAGUCACUUAAGCCCAAUAGAAAGUCUAUAAAUCCCUUUCUUGGGGGUUAAGGUUUUAGUCUUGUUGUCACUCCCUUUAGUCCUCUUAAAGAGAGAACCCUAACCUCCACACUUUAAGAGAUUUCUAUCAUCUUAGUAUUUAGACUUAAGGAAGAGUCAUUAAGUGGAAGAUUGUUGUGUUUAUGAGACCUUUUAUAGAUUUAGAGCUUUAUACAUUGACAAAAAUCGAUAUGAGAACAUUUAGAUCUUAGGUAUGGAAUUAUUCUCUAGAUCUGUAGUAUUAUUUUUGUUUUUGAAUACCAUGUUCAUGCUUUGCUUAGAUCUAAAGAGCUUAGGAUAGGAUUGCAUGUGGCCUAAUGAUCCAAGGCCUAAGAACAAAGUAAUUCGAAGUUCCCAAUAAGGUACACAAGGUUUUAAUAUGAUUCAACCAAUCAUGCCUACAUCUAUAGAUAAGAAAGAAUCAUUUUAUUAUACCAUAAAGAAUAUUACAAAAGACAAAACUAGAUAUAACUAUUAGGUUCUUGAAACAUUUCAUAUUUCUCCACUCCUUGUAUCUACAUCUUGAGCCACUCGCUCUCUCGUUCCACCGGAUGUCUCUCAUUCUUCUUUACAUCUCUAUCUACAUCAUAUAGUCUUUACAAGUUCAUCUUCAUCUCAUAAUUAGCUUGUUUUCCUCAUGACUUAGAAAGUUUAUAGAAAUAUUUCUAAUAACUUUUCUUAUUCUAUAAGAAAAUCUAAUAUUAUAAUGACAUGUAGGAAAUGUUCUAUAUAAUAUUAUUUACAAAAGGAGAUCUAUACUAAUUAGGAAUUUGGGACACUUUCCAACAAUCUCCAUCUUGGAUCAAAUUUCAUUAAGUCAAUCUUCCAUAUUUCUAUGAUACACAUUUUGUAUCACAUCCCAAUAAGAGAACAAUUGACUAUACCUUCAACUAAAAUUCCUUUUAUCAUCAUUUUGUGUGCUCUGCUUUCUUUGGCUCUUCUAGAAAUCAUUGUCUUAAGCUUUGAUAUCAGUUGUUAUGUAUGAGGAAGUUUUGAUACCAGUUUGUUGUGCCAGUGGAAGCUUUGAUGUAAAUGAUGUUAGUGUAAGAAUACAAAGAUAAAAUAGCCCGCACAAAGAUACACGAGGUUUUAAGGUGGUUUGAUCAACUAUGCCUACAUCCACGGAUGAGAGAGAAUCAUUCUAAUACCAUAGAUAAUAUUACAAACAAUUAAACUAGAUACAACUAUUGAGUUCCACAAAACAUCACAUAUUUUCACACUUCUUUUAUUUAUACCCUAAACCAUGAACCUUCUCGUAUUACAUUCUUCCGCACAUCUCUAUCCACCUCAUAUAGUCUUUAUGAACUCAUCUCCAUCUCAUUACUUUUUCUUUUUAUGACCAAUAACAUUUAUAAUGAUAUUCCUAAUAAUUUUCCUUAUUCUAUAAGGAAAUCUAAUAUUAUAAUGACAUGAAUAUUAUAAAUAUUCUAUAUAAUAUUCUUUACAAAAAUGAAUUUAAUUAGAAUUUGAGACAUUUUCCAAUACUUCAAACACAAGAUAAGCACACAAAGAUUUUUUUUUUUUUUAGGUGAUUAUUUAUGCAAUCCAUCCUAUUCACAUGUUGCAUUCAUUAAUUCAACAUUUGCAAGAAGUUUCAUUUGCCUACUAUCUAAUCAAAGAACAAAUUUGCCUCUAUGAAUUUGAGGAAGAACUUCAUUUCUUUCUUAAAUUUAUACAAUAUUAAAGGACAAUAUUUUAUGAACAUGAUUCACCCAUAAAAAUUUCCCCAUCAUUGGAAAAGAUAUGUGCAAGCUAGAGUUAUAUAGAAUAAGGUACCCAUAGACAAAGAACUAAUCCAAAUUUUUUUGAGUUGAAUAUGGGAGGUAGGAUAAUGUAAACAAAAGUUUAAAAUAAAAUGUUAAUUUCAUUCGUCCCCUCUAAGGUUUUGAUUAAAUAAACCUAAUUUUUAUUAGUUUGAAAUUUUAUCAAAUAAUUCUCAUAUCAUUUUCAUUUAUUAUUUUAAUUCAUCUUCUCUUUCACUUAAAAUAAGGAAGGUAUUUGAUAUAAUUUUAAAUUAAUGAGGAUCAGGUGUAUUUAACUAAAAUUUAAAGGGAAGUGAUUAAAAUUAACCCUUAAAAUAAAUUCUCCAUUAUCAACUUUACCACUUCAAGAAGAAAAAAGAAAAUUUCUUAAUAAUUCUCUAAAGCAAGCAAUUUUUUGUAGUUUAAGUUCCUUGGAAAAAAAAUUUCUGAAAUAAAAACACAUGGAACGUAUAAUUGUGAUCAAGUUUCAUUGAAAAAAAAAUCGAGAGACACAGAUAUUAAUCCUUGAUUUUGGAAACAAUUAGAAAAAUAAAUAAAGAUGGAGUUAAUAUUAAUGAUGCGUCAGGUUAAUUUGUUAUUGGAUUCUAAAGUUCUUUCUAUACCAAUUUACAAUUAUGAAAUUUAGUACAUGAGAAUAAAAAAUUAUAUGAUGACCAUAAAAAAGAGGUUGUUUUCUGCAGGAUCUCGUUGACUUCUAUUUCCAUGACUUGUUGUACACUAUGAAGCCAGCCAUCCACUUCAUUGGUGCGCCUCAUUUGUCGUUGCUCUUCAAGAUCAACUCUUCCCUUCACAUCUUCAUGUACAUUCUUCAGCUCCUGCAUUGCAUUUCUCAAAGAGUUCAUAUUUUCCUGCAGAUCCUGGAUGUAGCCGGCAUGCUUGGCUGUGCAGUUCCAUACGCGAGUGACAACAUCCAAGAUUGGGCUCACACAAUCCAUUCCUUGUCUUGAGAGAUGAAAUUCAAACAGAAAAUGGAGAGAUGGGUUUUGUGGGAGAGCAGAAGACUUUUGUUUGUCAAAACAGUUCUCUCUCUCCAAUGAGGAGACUUCUAUGGUCCCAUGCACGCGGUAGGUACCGAAGCGUGAAUUCCCACCGUUGGAUAAGUAAAUCCAAUCAAGACCGUCUAUUUGAUUUUGAGAAGGAAGAAAAAAAAAAAUAAAAAAAAGAUAAAAAACAACCAUCAUCUGUUAGGGGCAUAACAGGUUUCUAUUUGGAUGCUUCAGCCUUCCCCUGAGCACUGGCCCUACAUGCCCAACAAACAAGUGAGAACCUUUUCUACUCUGGACAUAGUUGAACACAAUAAGAAUCUUCCAGCUUUGUUAUUGCACAACUUCAGCUUGUAGCCCUUCCACCCUCAUUCCACACCCUUCUAAAAGGCUCCUUCACCUUCACUAGAUAACAAAAUUCCACACCCUCCAAAAACCUAGGAAGACUCUUUUCCCCAAAUCUAAACCAAGACGACGACAACCCCUCCCCCCCCCCCCCCCCUCCUCUCUACAAUCUUUCCCACCCUCUUACCAUUUACAAACUCCAACGAAAUUUCAAAAGAUUUGGAAUCAACUCCAAACCAGCAUCUUCCACCAAGAGAAACCUUCUUCACCUCUACUUCUUCCAUCACCUUCCUUCCUUCAUGAAAACUUUAAUUGGCCAUGGUUUGCAAUCCCAUCUUGUUUUCAAUAUCUUUCAAUAUUCCAAGAGGAUUUUCAAAUUUGGAAUGAUACACUUAUAGACCUUUGGGUUGGAGAAGGGUUUUUAGAUGAAGUUGACAGCUUACAUGAAGCCUGUGAGAGCAAGGAUAUAGAAUCAUUGUAAGUCUAAAGUUUGCAUGUCCAUUUGAGGAAGGUCAACUUGAACAUCAUGUCAAUAUGCAUAAAGUGAUUCGUGACACGGCGUUGUGGAUAGCUUCUGAAUAUGAUGGUAAGAAGAAUGAAAUCUUGGUACAAGAAGGCAUCAUUUUGAGUGCUGCUAAAAUCACAAAAUUGAAGGAGGUGCAUAGGAUAUUGAUAUGGGAUAACAGUUUUAAACUCACUUCACCCCAUUUUCCCAAUCUCUUUACUCGUCAAAUCUGAUGUGCCAGAGAUAUUUCCCACUGGAUUCAUUCCAGUUAUAAAAGUUCUGGACUUAUCUCAUUCUUAUCUAACUAUGCUACCUGUGGGGAUAGGUAAAUUAGUUAGUUUACAGACAGGUACAAGGGAAUUGCCAAUGGAGCUCAAAGAUUUGACGAAUAAGGUGUUUGAUACUUGAUUCUACUAAGAAUAAUUCUUUCCCAGCUGAUAUCAAAGCUUUCAUCAUUGCAAUUAUUUAGUAUGUGUAUUACCGACAAUUUUAUCUUAUAUUCAGGGUGAAGACCCAGUAAGUGAGUUAGAUUGCUUAGAACACAUAGAUGAGAUCAUCACAAUAACUAGUCUUCUAUCCAUUCAAAAGUUAAUGAGCUCUUGGAAGUUGCAAGGGGGUCUAAGAUGGCUACUACUGUCGAGCUUUGUGGAGCCUAGUUUUGUUUGAUCUGGUUUGAUGACCCGAGCUGAAUAAUAUUGUGUGGUUUUUUUAAUGUGCAGUAUUUUUUGGGCCCGUUUAGCCCAUUAUGGAACCACAUUUUGUAAUUAGGGUUUUUUAGUGUGGUGUGGCGGCCGUGUUUGAGAUAGAGAGAAAAUAUUCUAGCCGAUAGAAGUACUCUGUUUUCUUCUCUGAUAAUAGUGAUAUCCCUGCAACUCUGUGGAUGUAGGCAAAUUGCUGAACUAUGUAAAUAUUGUCUUGUGCGUGUAAUUGUUUUUUCUUUGGCGUGUGUUUUCUCUAUUUUUUUUGUUUCUCAUAGGUUGCGAAUUCAGCUUAAUUUCCUUCAAUUGGUAUCAGAGCCUAGGGUUAGGUUUGAGUGGGAGCAAUGACAGAGGAAGCAGGAAAGGUGUCUGGAAUAGAAAAGUUUGAUGGCACAUACUUUGCGUAUUGGAGGAUGCAGAUUGAAGAUUAUCUCUAUGGGAGGAAAUUGCAUCUGCCUCUUUUGGGGACAAAACCUGAGAGUAUGAAGCCUAAGGAAUUGACACUUCUUGACAGACAGGUUCUAGGAGUUAUUAGGUUAACUUUGUCUAGGUCUGUUGCACACAAUGUUGUAAAGGAGAAGACCACAACAGAUCUGAUGAAGGCUUUGUCUGGUAUGUAUGAAAAGUUGUUUGUAAACAAUAAGGUGCAUCUGAUGAAGAAAUUUUUCAAUUCGAAGAUGGCAGAGAUGCAUCAGUAGCAUAACAUUUGAAUGAAUUUAAUACAAUCACAAAUCAAUUGUCGGCUAUAGAAAUUGAUUUUGAUGAUGAGAUUCGUGCUCUGAUCAUCUUGGCUUUUUUGCCAAACAGUUGGGAGACAAUGAGGAUGGCAGUAAGCAAUUCUACGGGAAAGGAAAAACUCAAGUACAAUGAUAUACGAGAUUUAAUUUUGGCCGAGGAGAUUCGCCGAAGAGAUGCAGGUGAAACCUCAGGAUUUGGUUCUGCCCUAAACCUUAAGAUAAGAGGCAGAGGUAAUGACAGAUAUUCAAACCAGGGUAGAUCAAAAUCCAGAAAUUCUAAUUGGAACAUAAACAAAUCUAGAUCAGGCCAACAAGUACAAUGUUGGAACUGUGGGAAAACAGGUCACUUUAGAAGGUAAUGCAAAAGUCCUAAGAAGAAGAAUGAAGAUGAUUCUGCUAAUGCUGUAACAGAAGAGGUACAAGAUGCAUUACUUCUUGUAGUAGACAGUCCACUUGAUGAUUGGGUUUUGGAUUCAGGAGCUUCGUUUCAUACCACUUCACACCGAGAAAUCAUACAGAAUUAUGCUGCAGGUGAUUUUGGUAAGAUGUAUUUGGUUGAUGGUUCAGCCUUGGAUAUUGUGGGUCUGGGAGACGUUUGGAUAUCGUUGCCCAAUGGGUUUGUUUGGUUACUGGAGAAAGUUCGACAUAUUCCUGACCUGAGGAGGAAUCUGAUUUCUGUUGGACAACUUGAUGAUGAAGGACAUGCAAUACUAUUUGUUGGUAGUACUUGGAAGGUUACAAAGGGAGCUAGGGUAUUGGCUCGUGGAAAGAAGACUGGUACUCUAUAUAUGACCUCAUGUCCAAGAGACACAAUUGCAGUUGUUGAUGCAAGUACUGAUACAAGCCUAUGACACCGUAGACUUGGUCACAUGAGUGAGAAAGGGAUGAAGAUGCUGUUGUUAAAAGGAAAACUACCAGAAUUGAAGUCCAUUGAUUUUGACAUGUGUGAAAGUUGCAUCUUAGGAAAGCAAAAAAGUGUGAGCUUCUUGAAAACUGGCAGGACACCGAAGGCUGAAAAAUUGGAACUAGUACACACUGAUUUGUGGGAGCCUUCUUCAGUUGCAUCCCUUGGAGGUUCAAGGUACUACAUCACUUUUAUUGAUGACUCAAGUAGAAAGGUAUGGAUUUAUUUUCUGAAAAAUAAAUUUGAUGUAUUUGAAACUUUUAAGAAGUGGAAGGCCAUGGUUGAGACAUAAACAGGUUUGAAAGUAAAAUGUUUGAGGUCAGAUAAUGGAGGAGAGUACAUAGAUGGAAGGUUCAGUGAGUAUUGUGAUGCAUAGGGAAUUAGGAUGGAGAAGACCUUUCUUGGGACACCAUAGUAGAAUGGUGUGGCUGAGUGCAUGAACAGAACUCUCAAUGAGCGUGCUAGAAGUAUGAGGUUGCAUGCUGGACUACCAAAAACUUUUUAGGCUGAUGCUGUUAGCACUGCAACUUACCUAAUAAACCGAGGAUCAUCAGUUCCCAUGGAGUUCAGACUUCCUGAGAAGGUUUGGAGCGGUAAAGAGGUAAAGUUUUCACAUUUAAAAGUUUUUUGUUGUGUUUCUUAUGUUCAUAUUGAUUUUGAUGCUCGUAGUAAACUUGAUGCAAAGUCUAAAAUAUGUUUUUUCAUUGGCUAUGGUGAUGAGAAAUUUGGCUAUAGGUUUUGGGAUGAACAAAACAGGAAAAUCAUCAGAAGUAGAAAUGUGAUAUUUAAUGAACAAGUUAUGUACAAGGACAUGUCAACUGUAGUGUCAGAUGUUACAGAGAUAGAUCAAAAGAAAUCUGAGUUUGUCAACUUAGAUGAAUUGACUGAAAGUACUGUCCAAAAAAUGGGUAAAGAAGAUAAGGACAAUGUAAAUUCACAAGUAGAUUUGAGUACAACUGUAGCUGAAGUUCGCAGAUCUUCCAGGAACAUUAGACCUCCACAGCGUUAUUCACCUAUUUUAAAUUAUCUCCUGUUGACUGAUGGUGGUGAGCCAGAGUGUUAUGAUGAAGCCUUACAAGAUGAGAAUUCAAGCAAGUGGGAGUUAGCCAUGAAGGAUGAGAUGGAUUCUUUGUUGGGGAAUCAGACAUGGGAACUGACUAAAUUGCUAGUAGGAAAGAAGGCUUUGCACAACAAGUGGGUAUACAGAAUAAAGAAUGAGCAUGAUGGUAGAAAACGUUACAAGGCCAGAUUAGUUGUUAAAGGGUUCCAACAGAAGGAGGGCAUUGACUACACAAAGAUAUUUUCUCCAGUUGUGAAGAUGUCAACAAUCAGACUUGUACUGGGAAUGGUGGCUACAGAAAACUUACAUCUUGAGCAGUUAGAUGUGAAGACAACAUUCCUUCAUGGUGACUUGGAGGAAGACCUUUACAUGAUUUAGCCAUAAGGGUUCAUUGUUCAGGGACAAGAGAAUCUAGUCUGCAAACUGAGAAAGAGCUUGCAUGGCCUUAAACAAGCUUCUAGACAGUGGUACAAGAAGUUUGAUAGUUUUAUGCAUAGAAUUGGGUUCAAGAGAUGUGAAUCUGAUCACUGUUGCUAUGUUAAGUCUUUUGACAAUUCUUACAUCAUAUUACUGUUGUAUGUGGAUGAUAUGCUUAUUGCAGGGUCUGGUAUUGAGAAGAUUAAUAAUCUGAAGAAGCAAUUAUCUAAACAGUUUGCAAUGAAGGGUUUGGGAGCUGCAAAGCAAAUCCUUGGUAUGAGAAUUAUUAGAGACAAGGCUAAUGGUACAUUGAAGCUUUCACGGUCAGAGUAUGUGAAGAAAGUUCUCAGCAGGUUCAACAUGAAUGAAGCUAAACCAGUGAGCACAUCAUUGGGUAGUCAUUUCAAACUAAGUAAAGAACAGUCACCGAAGAUAGAAGAAGAAAGGGACCAUAUGAGCAAGGUGCCCUAUACCUCAGCUAUUGGCAGCAUGAUGUAUGCUAUGGUGUGUACAAGGCCAGACAUUGCACAUGCAAUGGGAGUUGUGAGCAGAUUCAUGAGUAGGCCUGGAAAGUAGCACUGGGAGGCAGUCAAGUGGAUUCUAAGAUAUCUGAAGGGUUCAUUAGAUACAUGUCUUUGUUUCACAGGUGCAAGUUUGAAAUUGCAGGGUUAUGUAGAUGCUGAUUUUGCUGGUGAUAUUGAUAGUAGAAAGAGUACUACUAUGUUUGUUUUUACUCUAUGUGGUACAACUAUAUCAUGGGCUUCAAAUCUACAGAAGAUUGUUACUUUGUCUACUACAGAAGCUGAGUAUGUUGCAGCAACUGAAGCUGGAAAGGAGAUGAUUUGGCUACAUGGUUUCUUAGAUGAAUUGGGUAAGAAGCAAGAGAUGGGCAUUCUACACAGUGACAGUCAGAGUGUAAAUUUUCUUGCCAAAAAUUCGGCUUUUCAUUCAAAGUCAAAGCAUAUACAAAUAAAAUACCACUUUAUUCGUUACCUUGUUGAAGAUAAACUGGUAAUACUUGAGAAGAUUUGUGGAUCUAAGAACCUGACAGACAUGUUGACUAAGGGUGUCACUAUUGAGAAGUUGAAGUUGUACGCAACUUCAAUUGGUGUUCUAGCUUGAGGACAGGAGGAUGAGUUACAGGGAUGAGGGAUUGUUUCUUGGAGGAUAGCGGUUUGAUGUUGGUGAUUGAACUAGUCUCCAAGUGGGAGAUUUGUCGGGCUUUGUGGAGCCUAGUUUUGUUUGAUCUAGUUUGAUGACUCGACCCGAACAAUAUUGCGUGGUUUUUUUAACGUGCAAUAUUUUUUGGGCCCGUUAAGCCCAUUAUGGAACUGUCUUUUGUAAUUAGGGUUUUUUAGUGUGGUGUGGCGGUCGUGUUUUAGAUAGAGAGCAAAUAUUCUAGCCGAUAGAAGUAUUUUGUAUUCUUCUUUGAUAAUAGUGAUAUCCCUACAACUCCGUGGACGUAGACAAAUUGCCGAACCACGUAAAUACUGUCUUGUGCGUGUGAUUGUUUUUUCUUUGGCGUGUGUUUUCUCUAUUUUUUUUGUUUCUCACAGGUUGGGAAUUCGGCUUAAUUCCCUUCAACUACUUGGAUGCUGUGAAGGUUUGACCACACUCAAACUAUCAUCCUCGCUAAAAAGAAUGGAGAAUUUAAUUAGUGUCUUGUAAUACUUUGGAAAAGAUAGAAGCUGAUCGGGAAAGUGAAGGCAGGGAGGGGGCCAUCCCAGAUAAUAUCAGAUACUUAAGGUUCCACAACCUUCUCAGAGUAACAAUUCAGUUUUACUCAGAGUUGUUGGAUUUGACAUGGCUUAUUUAUGCUCCAAGCCAUCAGGAGCUUUAUGUACGACGGUGCUCAUCAAUUGAACAAGUUAUGCAUGAUGACCACGAAGUUGCAGAUAAGAAAAGCAUAUUCUCAAGGCUCACAGCUCUUAACUUUGAGGAAAUCUACCAAACUUAAAGAGCAUCUACGUGUGGGCCUUGCCAUUUCCUUCCUUGAAACAGAUCCAUGUGAUAGGUUGCCCAAUUCUGAGGAAGCUGCCAUUGGAUUCCAACAGCUCAACCUGUACCUUAAAGCAAAUUACAGGGGAAUCAAGCUGGUGGGAGGAUGAAUCCUUAAACCAAACUUUCACUCGGUAUAUUGUAUUUGACAUUGAUCUGGCCUAACAGCAUGGUGAUUGAAGCUGCUAGAGUCAUAUCACGGAGUGAUUGUAGUCCUUGACACCCAAUUACUCUCUCCAGAGAUGCUCUCCCUCACAAUCACAAAGGUAUCUCUUAUUUUGUUUUCCUUCUGGUUGAUCGAUUGGAGAAAUUUCAAAUAUGUGUGUAUUUGGUCUUCAAGUUCUUCCUAGUCGAAUGCCAUUAUGUGCAUAUGUUUCAUCAUCUAAGUUUUGUUUAGGUAGUAAGAUUUUUCCUUUUUAUUAUGGAGUUGAUAUUAUUAAUCAUUAUUUGGUAAUUGGUGCAUUUUUAAGUGAAUAAGAUUUUUCUUUUUCAUUACUGGUUACUUAGAUUGUAAACAAUUGUUCUGGAAUGGAUUCUGUGUCUUUUUUUUUGCUUUUUUCAUAAUCAUUUUCUCAAUUUUCACCAUAGAAUAACUGAACCGACCAGUGUAGAAUCUGGAAUAAUUAUAAUAGACAAUGAAGAACAAACAUAUAGACUUAAAUAAGAUAGUAACUUCAAUAAAAAAAAAUUUGAUUCAUCACUGAUUACGUUACAGACAACAUGUGUAAUUCUGUAGAUAAAAACCACUUCACCUGAUCCAUCUCAUCGACUUUUACGAGUAUUGUCUAAUCCAUCCUCCUGAUGGGCUAACAAAUAUUUUUUGUGACUAUUAUACAACAUUUUUAUCCACAUGAAAUCAUGUCCUCCUGAUGGGCUCAAGUGGCUUAAGGUAAGGUGGGCUAACAAAUAUGGGCUGUGCAGCAACGUUCAAUAUAGGGACUACUAGUGGCUGAACCGGUUUUCAAAACCAUGGUCAUUUCUCAUAUUUGUAAAAUUAUUUUCUAAAAUAGUUAUGAAAAAAAUAAGUGGAAAGAACAAAAAUAAUUUAAAUAUAUUCUAAAAAAAUAUCAUAUUUUCAAAAACCUAUUUUAGGAAAAAAAAUUUAUUCUAAAAAACAAUCUCAAACAUAAUGUUUAUGUCUCAUCUAUGCCUCUUAUUUCAUAUAAGCAAAAUUAAAAUCUCAUUUUCUAUUGUAACAUAAAAAUAAUACAAAAAACAAGUUCCUUACCAUGUUUUUGAAAAAACAUAUCUUGAAAAUGGGUUAUUUUUUAAAAAAAUAUUAAAAUAUUAUUUUCCACAUUUUUAAAAAUUCAAUCACCUCAAUAAUUGAAAAUAAUAGCAUAUGUCUUCAUUGGUUCUAUUUUUCAAAAGGAAAAAUAUUUUUACUUAAAACUUCUUUUAUGUUAUCACACAUGAGGGAAAAGUAAAAAAUUAUUAAUUAAAUAAAAAUAAAGAAACACUUUUUUUUUUUUAAUUUUAAUUUUUAAUUUUUAUCUUUUAAAUGAAAUAUUAAAAAGGUUUCCAAAGUUUUGUUAAAAAAAAAAACAGACAAAACUUAUAUGGAUAGAACAAUUUUAAAAAAAAAUGGCAAUUAAAAUUUUAAUAACCGUAAAAGUAAACAAAAAUCUUUAGUUAUUGAAUGCAAAUUUCUAUUAUAAUUAAAAUAUUAAAGCCUAUAUAUAUGAUAACUUUGGACAAGAAAAAUCAAAGGUAAAGUUAGCCCAAUUUUGUGGUAUUCCAAGUUGUUGUUUUCUAAUAUAAGUUCUAAUGUGUUUAUUUGUUUUUAGAUUAAAAUGAUUAAUUAUUUAUUAAAGUAAAUGAAAUCCUAAUUUAAAUAAAUAGGGAUAAAAAACGAAUAAAGAUUUUAUAAAAUAUUUAAUGAAAUAAAUCAAAUAAAAAAAAUAAUGUUAUGGAGAGUUCUACAAUCCAAUGUUAAAUCCAAGAGAGUAUUAUAAAAUUUAGGGUAUAGGAUUGAUUAUCUUCUACACUCAAAUAGACACACCACCUUUAGAUCCUCAAUGAUAUUGUGCCCCUGGUCCCAUGCUUCAUGUUGUCAAAUUCAUCGAAAAACCCCUCUCCGAUCCAAAGGUUUAUAAGAUCAUCAUUCAUAAUUUCAUAAUCCUCUUGAAAUACAGCAAGAUAUAGAAAACAAGUCUUGAUGGUGUCAUUUUUCAAGCUAUCAUAACUAAAUUUCAGUAGCAGAUAUACAUGAUCUCCCAUACCUGAAAAUUUUGAUGGGUAAGUCUUCAACAUUUGUAUCGCUUGCUCCCAUUCUUGUACUCUGUUCUUGCCAGCCAUAGCUCGCCCAAUAGUAACAAGUGCAAGUGGUAAAACUUGGCUCUCUCUGGCAGCUAUUUCAUCGAGUUGCAGUAUAUCUGGAUGUGAAUUUAGAGUACGUAGUCUCUCCAAUCUUCUCCUUAAACAAAUUAAUAGCCUCAUCUGGUGUCAAACGCUCCACCUUAAUACUUUUUGUGAGCAUCCAUAUUGUGGCGAUUAAACAUCUAGAGACCGGGUUGUUAAUAUCACCUUGGACUUACAUGGGGAAUUUGGAGAAGGAACCCCCAACUUUUGGAGAUCAAGCUGCUCCCAUACAUCAUCUAGCAACAUCACGAACUUUUUUGCCUUCAAGACAUUGAAAAUUUCUACUGCUUUUUCAUCCUCAGUUCUGUUUCUCCAUUUAUGAUUCAAGAUGUCUCACUUGUUGCGAAUGACUUCUUGUAACACUUGCAGGCCUGGACACUACAACCCCAAUGGAGACUUCAAAGUCCUUGCUUGCUCUGAUGAACUCAUUAUUCAAUUUGCUCAUGAGGGUAGUUUUUCUGGCACCCCCAUUCCAUACAAUCAAUAAUUCCGAGUUGUUCAUCUUCGAUGCAUUUGCAAACCUCAGCAUACAUCAGAUCUAAGCCCAAGGUCAUCUCCAUCGGCCUCUCAUCCACUGGAGCUUGAGGUAACCUAUGAGCCACAACAUCAAAACGUCCUUUCUUCCUUAAUUCAGUCACUGCACUGUGCUUUUUACUUGCUUUCUUCCUGAGCUUGUAGCUGCACCAGCAGUUUAUGGGGCAACAAAUUCCAGGGCAUUUCUUCUGGAUCUCCUGAUCCCAUUCUGCAGCAUCUCAUUGACUUGUAUUUCCAUGACUUGUACACCAUGGAGCCAUCCGUCCACUUCAUUUGUGCGCGUCAUUUGUCGUUGCUCUUCAAGUUCAACUCUUCUUUCACAUCAUCAUGUACAUUCUUCAGCACUGGCACUAUAUGCCCAGCAAACAUGAGAUUGCAAUAGACAACCUCUAUACAUGAUAAAAAUCAUUUGGGCAAUGAGUCCUCGUCACAUUUUGGAUGUGAUUACUCUGGGUUUUAACAUUUCAAUUAGGAAUUAUUCCUAUUGUUCUUAUUGUAGGGAGCACUCCUAAGCGCACACGUGGCAGCCUCACAGAACACUCCUCCAUUGGACACAUGGCACAUUCAACCCUCUGUCCGGAUUUUCCUCAUGGGGCACGUGGCACUCUCAACUCUUCAUCCGGACGACCAUGGGACCGGUGUGCUAUCCACACUCCCUUGUCUGGACGUCCUGUCCGGACCCAAUGCCAAUGUCUUAGACAAAAGUCUUGACUGUGUUUCGCGGGCUAUCAUUAUUCAUACUACUAAAAGUAUGCUCGAUGGGACCCUCCUGGGUCACUUCAGGCAACCUGUCACGACUUGCACCCCGCCGCCUGCAGAGCGAAAAGACAGGGAUGACGACAAGUCAUCCAUCCCAUAAUUUCUGACAGUCGCCUGUAGAACAAUGAUGGCUCUACCACCAUCUUAGCACCAUCAUGACAAGCCAAAAAGUCUUCCCACCAUCAAAGGGGACAAAGCUCCUGACACUAUAAAAGACCCUCACGCAAUAAAAGAAGGUAAGCAUUCUUGCCAGCCAUAGCUCGCCCAAUAGUGAUGAGUGCAAGAGGUAAGCCUUUGCAUUCUUUAGCAUCAAUUUCAGCGAGUUGGGGUAUAAUCGGAUGUGAAUUUAGAGUAGUCUCUCCAACUUUCUUCUUGAACAAAUAAAUAGCCUCAUCUUUUAUCAAACACUCCACAUUAAGGCUUUUUCGAGCUUCCAUAUCCCAACAAACAUCCAAAGAGCGGUUGUUAAUAUUACUUUGGACUUGUUUUGGGAAUUAGGAGAAGGAACCCCCACUUUUUUGGAGAUCAAGCCGCUCCCAUACAUCAUCUAGCAGCAUCACAAACCUUUUUGCCUUCAAGACAUUGAAAAUUUCUACUGCUUUUUCAUCCUCAGUUCUGUUUCUCCAUCUAUUAUCUGGGAUGUCUAACUUGUUGCGAAUGACUUCUUGUAUUUUUUCCACACUUGUAGGUCUAGAUACUACAACCCAAAUGGCGAUUUCAAAGCUCUUACUUGCUUUAAUGAACUCAUUAUUCACUUUGGUCAUGAGGGUAGUGUUAGAAUAAUUAUGGACUCUCAUAUAUUAAUAAUUGUUUAUGAUUAAGCUAUUCAUAUAUAUUCAAUUUAUAUUUAUUAUUAAGUAUGAGCCACCUUGUGUGUAGAACCCAAGUCACAUGUGUCUCACAUGAUGGGCCUAAGACACAUGUGGCCCAAUAGCCCAAUAGGCAUGGUUUCUAAGGCAUAGAGGAAGUUAAUAAAUAAAGAAUAAAAAAUUUUGGUAUCUAUUCAAUUUUCUUUUGAAAAUACAGAACGUUCCCUCUUCUACCUCCCAUCACAAGAGAGAAAAUAUAAGGUGGUUUCUUCUUCUAUUGCUUUAGAAGAACCAUAUUUCUUCAAGAUUGCUAAUGGAUUUGGGUUUGUCUACAUCCUUUAAAAUAAUAGACAUGUUUUCUUUAUAUGAUUUAACAUGAGAUUUCUGUUUUUGGGUUGAUAAUGGAGUUUUCAACAACUGGUAUCAAAUCAUGCCACACAUAUGUGUGUUGUAUAUAUUAAUGAUGUGCCAGUAUAGUGGGAGUUUGUAUUUGGGUUUUGUGUUUGUUUUCUUGAUGUAUUGUUAUGAUUGUGUUAUCUGUACAAACUUUAUGACUAUUUUUAGUCAUAAAGUAGGACCAAUUGGAAAUAGACAUAUUAAAGAUCACAUUUUAUGUAAUUUCCAUGCUAUACAUCCAUACUUGAUCCAUGUUGCUAAUUUUGUUAAUGUUGUGAUCAUUUAUGGGUCUAGUUAUAGUUAUGAUUAAUGAAGGCCGCUUUAAUCCUAUGUUAACAUAAUUAGUAGAAGAGAUUGUUUAAGGAUAUUUGAAUAGGAUAGCAAAGAUGAGCUCAACAAAGUAUUAUCAUGAACAUUGUUCGGUAAUAUAUGUGGUCCAAGUGGGAGAUUGUUAGAAUAAUUCUGGACUCACAUAUAUUAAUAAUUGUUUAUGAUUAAGCAAUUCAUAUAUAUUCAAUUUAUAUUUAUUAUUAAGUAUGGACCACCUUGUGUGUAGAGCCCAAGUCACAUGUGUCUUACAUGAUGGGCCUAAGACACAUGUGGCCCAACAACCCAAUGGGUAUGGUCCUUAAGGCAUAGAGGAAGUUAAUAAAUAAGGAAUCAAAAAGUUUGGUGUCUAUUCAAUUUUCUUUUGAAAAUACAGAACGUUCCCUCUCCUGCCUCCCAUCACAAGAGAGAAAACAUAAGGUGGUUUCUUCCUAUAUUGCUUUAAAAGAACCAUAUUUCUUCAAAAUUGCCAAUGGAUUCAUGUUUGUCUACAUCCUUUAAAAUAAUCGACAUUUUUUCUUUAUAUGAUUUAACAUGAGAUUUCUAUUUUGGGGUUGAUAAUGGAGUUUUCAACACGUAGUUUUCCCGGCACCCCCAUACUGUACAACCCAAUGAUUCCCAGUUCCUCAUCUUGGAUGCAUCUGCAAACCUCUGCAUACAUACGCUCUAAGCCCACAAUCUUAUCCAUCGGCCUCUCAUCUACUGGAGAUUGAGGUAACCUAUCAGCCACAACAUCAAAGCGUCCCUUGUUCCUUAAUUCAGUCACAACACCCAACUUUUUACUCGCUUUCUUCCCAAGCUUGUAGCUAGACCGACAGUUUCUGGGGCAACAAGUUCCAGGGCAUUUCUUCUGGAUUUUCCGAUCGCCUUUCUGUAGGAUCUCGUUGAUUUGUAUUUCCAUGGCUAGUACACUAUGGAGCCAACCGUCCACUUCAUUUGUGCGCCUCAUUUGUUGUUGCUCUUCAAGUUCAACUCUUCCCUUCACCUCUUGGUAUACGUUUUUUAGCUCUUGCAUUGCGUUUCUUAGCAAGUCCAUAUUUUCCUAUAGAUCCCUGAUGUAGACUGCAUGCUUGGUUGUGCAGUCCCAUAAGCGACUGACAAGAUCCAAGAUUGGGCUCACACAAUCCAUUCCUUGUUUUUCAGAGAUGAAAUUGAACGAAAAAGCAGAAAAUGGAGAGAUGGGUUUUGUUCAUCAAAACAAUUCUCUCUCCUCCAAUAAGGAGACUUCUAUGGUCCCAUGCACGCCGUAGGUAUCAAAGCGUGAAUUCCCACCGUUGGAUAAGUCAAUCCAAUCAAGACUGUCUAUUUGAUUUUACAAAGGGUUUUAAGAAUAUGCAGAGGGGGAAUCUUGUCAGAAUUAGGGAUGGCAAUGGGACGAGUUUUUUAGGGUACCCAUCCCGCCCCGUCCCUAAUGGGACGAAGUUCAAUUUUAAUAAACUGGUUUGGGACGGGUUUGAGAUUUUUUUUUAAAAUCCAGGAUGGAUUUGGGGUGGGUUUGGGUAUUGUCCCGUCCUGCCCCGCCUUGUUUAUAAAUAAAUGAAUAUAUAACAUAUAAUAUAUAUUCCUACUGACACAUCCCCCAUCUCCCAUAUCCAUUCAUAUCCUCAUAAGGAUAAUCAUCGAGAUGGUCGAUCUGGUGUCUGGGAUGCACAACCAUCGAGAUGGUCUCCGAAAAACCAGCAUGGGAAGAUUGCGGCGCUGAUACUUUCUUUUGAAUUGGGUUCUCCGACGAACUGCCGAAGUUCCCAACUCAGUUAUCGGAUUUGGGCCGCGAUUUUAUCGAGAAAUGCUUGAGGAGAGAGCCCAUUGAAAGGUGGAGCUGCAAUCAGCUGUUGCAAUACCCAUUUAUAUUAUCUUCAUCCCUCAAUUACAUCACAGAAGCAUCCCCGAGAUUGGUCCUCAACUGCUUCAAUUUUAGUGACGAAGAAAUCGAACUGAACCCCAAUCCUGCCCCAAAAAAUUCAGUUUUUGCCCAUGAUAGAAUCCAAAAAUUAGCUUCAAACAGAGGGCCUUUAGGAAUCAGAAGAUUGGAUGGACGUUAAGCCAUGGAUCAGUGACAGAGCAAAAGCAACAACGGCGAGCUAUUGUGGGGACGAAGGAGAAGGGACCAAUUCGGCAUAUUCGAAUUUCAUAUGGAAAACAAAGGAAAAGUGAGAAAACAUUCGCCGAAUAUCCAAGUAAAAACUUUUAAAAGUAAUUUUUAAAAAAAAUUAAAAUUCAAAAAAAAAGUUAAACGGGGCGGGGCCGGGCAGGUAUGAGAAUUUAUCAUACCCGUCCCGUCCCGUCUUGUCCUGCCUCGCCCCGUUUAAUUUUUUAAAUGGGACGGGGAUGUGAAUUAUUUUAAAUAAAUGGGGCGGGGUUGGGAUGGGGGCGACCCGUCCCGAACCCGCCCCGUUGCCAUCCCUAGUCAGAAUAUAUAUUGUGAGAGGGACAGAAAUAAUAUAAGUGUUUAACUACUUGUUCAUCGAAGUUGAAUAAAAAGGAUUAAGAAAUUAAUGCAUGUUUGGAUAAAUAAAAGUUUUAUUUUUUUAUUUAUUUUUUUAUUUUUUUAUUUAUAAAAAGUAAGUACAUAACUCAUGUAGUUGAAAAUAUUUUUAAAAAUUUAACAAAUUAAAAUUUUUCAUUUUUUUUAUUUUGAAAAAUGUUUUUAAUAACAUAAUAGUAAAUUUCCCUUUUUUUUUAUUUUUUAUUUUUAUUUAUAAGAAUUGUUAUAUUUUAUAUAAGAAUUUUUAGUUUUAAAAGUAAAGAAUAAAAAGUGUAUCUGAUGAAUGCUUUAAACGAAUGAACAUCCGUUAUUUGCGGGUUUUCCAUUAGAGUAGAGUAUUUUUUAAAAAAAUUUGUAAUAAAAAAAAUAAUUAUAAAAUUAUGAUAUUUUUCAAUUUUAAGUGGAUUUUUUUUUAAACGAGUUUAGUGUAAAAAUGAACUUAUCUUUUCGAUGAGUUUAGUAUAAAAAAAAAAGUAAAUUUGUUUUUUGAAAAGUAGAGUUCAAUAUAAAAGGUUUUAGGAUAAAAAUGGAAUUCGUUUGUUGAAAAGACAAGGUCUUUUGAAAUAUCAAGUUUAGUGCAAAAAUAAAAGACAAGAUGAAAAAUAUUGAUUUUUGCAUUUAUUUCUUAAACAAUUAUAUUUUAAUAAUAUCUUUCAAAAAAAAUAAAAAUUCACAUGGGCAGUCUUGGUCAUUGGCGCCACAGUCUGUCACGGGCUCUAAAAAAAACCUUUUUUGCAGUCCAAGACAGAGAUUCAACAUAGAAAGGAGAGAAGAUAAUAGAUUCUUUUUUAUAUGGCCAUUUGUAGAUUCAUUCAGGCUCUAUUUCAAAUUUAUCAUUUCCAAUUACGUAUAUAUUCUGCCUCAACUAUCACAUUUAAUUAAUUAUUAAUUAUUAAUUAAUUAUUUGUUUGACUUCUCAUCUCAACAUCAUUUCAUGAUGAAUAAUACGAGAAAAAUAAAAGAUAAAAGAAAAAAAAUAAAUAAUAAAUAAAAAUAGACUCAAAAUUAAUAAAUCAUUUUAAAUGUUUUUUUAAAUUUAUUUUACUUAUUUUUCUGUUAUAUAAAAAUUAAAUAAUUUUAAAAUGUAUAAAUUUCUCAUUAAAUCCGUAUCUAUUGAAGGUUAUUUUAUAUGGCUGUUUGCAGUUUCAUUUAGCCUUGAUUUCAAUAUAUUAUUUCCCAUCACCGCUUCAACUGUCAUAUUUAAUUAAUCAUUUAAAAUAAAGUUAUUAAUUACUUGUUGAACUUUUGGUCUCACUAUCAUGAUGGAUAUGGUUACCAAUUAACCAAAAGGAAUUAUGAUAUACAACUGAAAUUACUUAGAGAACACUGCGAGAAGACGACAACAUGUAGGAUUCAGUAACUCAACAUUUGCAAGAACUUCCGAUUGAGUCAAGUGUUCAUCAAAAUCUUGUCCGGUAAAAACAAGAGAGCAAAUCAAUUGGAUCAUCAAUCGCUGACUAUCUAAAUCAAAGAACAAAUUUGCUUGAGAAAGAACUUCAUUUCUUUCUUAAAUUUAUUCAAUAAUGAAGUGAAUCUGAUUAUUUAGGUGUUUUAAAAUGGGAAUGUAAAAUAUUUUAAUUGAAUUCAAACUUAUUUAGAAUCAGGCUAUAAACAAAGAACUAAUCCAAAUUUAUUGGUAUUGAAUGUUGAAACUAAGAUAAUGUAAACAAAAUUUAAAAUAAAGACUUAAAUUCAUUCACCUCCCUAUAAGUUUUGGUUAAAACAAAGAAUAUUUUUAAACUGUUUUAGGUUGUUUUCACUUAUUUCUCAUAACUAUUUUUUAAAAAUAAUUAUAUAAAUAAUAAUUAAAAAUAAAAUAUCACAUAUAAAAAUUAUUUUUUAAAUAUAUUUUAAACCCUUAAAAACAUGUUAAAAAUAUUUUGAAUUUUUAAACAAAUUUUUAUUUUAUAAAAUAUUAAAAAAUAAUUUUCAAAAACUAUUUUGUUUUAGACAACAGUUACAAGCGAACCAUAAUUUUUUCUUACUAGUUAAUGUGUUUGAACUAGUUAAAAAUGAGAAUAAGAACAAAAUAUUUAAUUUCAUGGAAACCAAAAUGCAUUCUCAUUAGGAUUUUGACUUCUUCCAUAAGGUAUUGUAAUUCACCUAUAUUUCCAUUUCAAUUAUAGGCAUGCUCAUGUCCUAAAAAUCUUUUGACCUAUUAUGCUAAACUCAUACUUCUAGUGAACAUAAACUAGAAUCUGUCCAAAGUGUAUGCUUUCAAAAACACAUAAUAAAAUAUUACGUAAAAUUUGUUUUAAAAACCAAGUCCACUUGUAAAUCAUCUUCUUCUUAUGACUGUUCAUUUUUUAAAUACUACUAGAGCAUAGUUUCUAGACCAAUUUUUGAUACCUUUUCAAACAUACAAGAGUUUCCAAUACAAAAUCUAAAAUUGAGUAUGUAUAGAUCUUAUAUCACUACUUCAACAAAUUGCAAUUCUUGAUACAAGCACUCUUAAGCAGUUGAACUUGAAACAUGUAAGAAUUAGGUAUCUUACAUUCAUUGAGGGGCAGUAGCUUCACACUUAGCACAUAGAGAAUUUUUCACUCAACUUUACACAAUGCAAACAAACAAGAUAUAUAUAUAUAUAUAUAUAUAUAUAUAUAUAUAUAUAUAUAUAUAUAUAUUUUAAAUGACUAUUUAUGCAACCCAUCCAUCCUAUGCGCACAAAGCAUCCAGUGAUUCAACAAUUGCUAGGAGUUUCAGCUGAGCCAAAGUAUUCUUCAGGAACUUCUCCUACAAACACAACAUAUAUAGCAAAUCAGCUGGAUCAUUUGCCUAUCAUCUAAGUUGAAGACAAAUAUAUUUCUAUGAAUCUGAGAAAAAACUGUUUCUCAUUCUAAAACCUAAACAAUAGUGAAGCAAAUUUGAAUAUUUAGAUUAAAUUGGAGGAACAAUUCAUGAGAAUUAUCGAUCAUAAAAAUUUCCGAUCCUUGAAAAAGAUAGGUGCAAACUAUGAAUUAUUAUGAGGGUACAUAUAUUUAUAUUGUAGUAAUUUAUUUGAAUAAUUACAAGCAUAUUAGAAUAUUUUUCUAAACUAUUUUAAAUAAAUAAUAAAAAUAAUAAUUAAUAAAUGCAAUAAAAUAAUAAAGUGACAAAUAACAUGUACAAAAUUAUUAUAUAUAUGAUAUCAAUUUAUAUACAUCAGAAAAAAUAGUAAUAUCAUCAUUUAUAAUUAAUAGUAUGUCUCAAACCAUAACAAAUAUAUAUAUAUAUAUAUAUAUAUAUAUAUAUAUAUAUAUAUAUAUAUAUAUAUAUAUAUUAUAUAAAGUUUUAGUUAUAUCUAUUUUCACAAUCUUUUACAUUUUUCUUUUUUAAAAAAAAACAAUUUUUAGUUUUCUUAAAUAAUCUCAUUUUUUAAGAAAAGAAAAAUAAGAAACAGAUAACUUUUUUAAAAAGUAAAAAUAUAAAAAUAAAACUAAAAAACAUUUUCUAAACCCAAUGCAACUUAAAAUUUUUAUAAUAAUUCUAUCAAGGAGUUUUUUGGUAGUUUAAGUUCCUUCGGGUAAAAUAAUAUUAAAAAUAAACAUGCAUGGAACAAAUAGUUUUUAUUAGGUUUCACUAAAAGAAAUCAAGAGGCUUUGACUCCGAGAACAAAUAGAAAAAUAAGCAAAUGGAAAAAAGACUGAGAUAAUAUUGAUGAUGCAUCAAGUAUCUCAUUGGACCCAAAAGUUCUUCCUUAACCUGCUUUACAAAUAUGAAUUUUAGGAUCUGAGAAUACAAACUAAGAUGGCCACAGGAGAAAAAGAGGUUAUUUUGUCUGUUUUUUUUUCUGUAAAAAAAAAGGAAAUGAUAAUGUUUUAUGAAUACUUUCUUUUUAACACAUAACUAAAUUUAUUGAGAUGAGUAACAGGUGAGGCAAUAAAAAAAAUAAAACAAAAGAAGGAAAAGAAAAGAAAAUAUAGCUUACCAAUUCCAAACUAAAUAAAAUUCUUAGCAGAAAAAAAAAAUAAUAAACAAUGAAAACAGUACCUGAGAGAGCAUGGGAGAAAGCAGGUAAAGGGGUGGGAGAAGGAAGGAGUGCAGCUUCUCCACUAUUGUGUCAUUUCUUCACUUGAAGUAGGGAGUGAAAGUGAGCUGAAAGGUUUCAUCCUCCCACUGCAACCCUUGCCACCACUUUGAUUCCCCUCUAAUUGACUUUAAACUGUUUCUUGCACUGUUUGAAUCUAAUGGCAACUUUCUUAGGUUUGGGCAUUCUCUCACCUGGAGGUAUCUCAAGGAAGGAAAUGACAAGGCCCGUCUACUGAUGCUCCUUAGAUUUGGUAGAUUAUGCAAGUUCAAACCUUUGAGUCUUGAGAAUAUGCCAAGAUUUUGAGGGACCCCACUCGCAUCACCUAUCACUUCUUCCAUGGAUUCACAUUCAUGUACAAAAAGUUGUUCAAGACUUGGGAUGUAAAUAAUCCAUGUCAAGUCCAACAACUUUGGAAGUUGAUCAAUAUUGACCUCGCGAAGGCUGUAGAAAUUCGAGUCUGGCAUAUAAUCUGCUACAAAUCCCUGUCCUCCCUCCUUUUCCAGAUCUACUUCUAUCUUUUGCAACUCCCGACAUUCACAUAUUUUAAGAUUAUCUAGAUGUUUCAUUCUUGGCAAUUGGAGUGAGGUCAUGCCUUCCAAUUUCCCAAGGCCUAGACCCCUCAUAACAUUCUGUAGUUUCUGGGAGCUUAAUAACUUUUGGAAAGACAAAGCACCUACGAUGGGAAAAUAGACCCAAUUUAUGUGUUCCAACCCUUCCAACUCCUCCAAUAAUGCUUUAUUAUUCUCCCACAAGUAAAGAGCUUCAUAAUCCUCCCUUGAAUAAUCGGGUCCCUCCUCUUUGGGUGAAUGACUAGCUUUUUCCUCCACUAAUGAAUAACUAAAUCCUACUAGAAAAAUUCUCAUCAUUGAGAGAUUUGAUAUUACUUCACUCGGAAUUAUUUGAAGAUAUGGCAUAUCAUCUAAUACCAGAUAUCUUAUUCUUUUCAAAGUUUUAAGCUCCGCCGACAAUUCUGUUACUAAUGUACCUGUUAAAUUGAGAUACUCUAGUGUAACUAAAUUACCAAUUCCAGUUGGUAACUCAGUUAUCAUGGUACCUGACAAAUCCAAAACUUUUAUAAUCGGCAUAAAAUGGAAGAAUCCACUCGAAAAGAAUCUAUCAGUAAAUGUUUGGAAGUUACCACUUUUACUCCUAACAAUUAAAGUCAAGAGUUUGGGAAAAUACAAUGGUACAGUGAGUUCUAGAGGGCUUUUAGUCCAAAAAGAUAUCCUUUGCGCUUCUUUCCACUUUGAAAUUCGGUGAGCUUUCACAGUAUUAUUUUCUUCUACCAAAAUUUUGUUCUUAUUGCCACUAUAUGUUGUAGAUAACCACAAAGCCAUAUCACGAAUAACAUCAUGCAUUUUAACCUUAUGAUAAUAUUCAUCACUACUCUCAAAUAGACAUGCUGUCUUUAGAUGCUCAAUCAUGUCAUGCCCUUGGUUAAAUGCUUCAUCAAUGUUAUCACAUUCAUCCAAAAACCCUUCUCCAAUCCAGAGGAAUAUAAGAUCAUCAUCUCUAAUUUCAUAGUCCUCUCGGAAUAUAGCAAGAUACAAAAAACAAGCCUUGAUGGUGUCAUCUGACAAGUUAUCAUAACUGAAUUUUAGGAUCGGAAAUACAUGAUCUCCCAUACCUGAAAACUUUGACGGAUAAGUCUUCAACAUUUGUAUGGCUCGCUCCCAUUCUUGUGGUGUGUUCUUCCUGGCCAUAGCUCGCCCAAUUGUGACGAGUGCAAGUGGUAAACCUUUGCACUCUUUAGCAGCAAUUUCGGCAAACUGGGGUAUAUCUGGAUGUGAAUUUAGAGUGGUCUCUCCAACCUUCUCCUUGAACAAAUUCAUAGCCUCCUGUUCUGUCAAACACUCCACCUUAAUGCUUUUUUGAGCUUCCAUAUCACGACAAACAUCCAGAGAUCGGGUUGUUAAUAUUACUUUGGACUUGUUUUGGGAAUCAGGAGGAGGAACACCCACCUUAUGGAGAUCAAGCCGCUCCCAUACAUCAUCCAGCAACAUCACGAACCUUUUUGCCUUCAAGACAUUGAAAAUUUCUACUGCUUUUUCAUACCCAGCUCUGUCUCUCCAUCUAUUAUCCGGGAUGUCUAACUUGUUGCGAAUGACUUCUUGUACUUUUCCCACACUUGCAGGCCUGGAUACUACAACCCAUAUGGCAAUUUCAAAGUCCUUGCUUGCUCUGAUGAAUUCGUUAUUCACUUUGGUCAUGAGGGUAGUUUUCCCGGCACCCCCCAUACCAUACAAUCCAAUAAUUCCCAGUUGUUCAUCUUGGAUGCAUCUGCAAACCUCUGCAUACAUCAGAUCUAAGCCCACGGUCUUCUCCAGCGGCCUCUCAUCCACUGGAGCUUGAGGUAAACUAUCAGCCACAACAUCAAAACGUCCUUUGUUCCUUAAGUCAGUCAGAGCACCGAACAUUUCACUUGCUUUCUUCCCGAGCUUGUAUCUGGACCGGCAGUUUCUGGGACAAGAAGUUCCUAUGCAUUUCUUCUGGAUUUCCUGAUCGCCUUUCUGCAGAAUCUCAUUGACUUCUUUUUCCAUGACUUGUACACGAUGGAGCCAGCCGUUCACUUCAUUUGUGCGCCUCAUUUGUCGUUGCUCCUCACGUUCAACUCUUCUGUUUACAUCGUCAUGUACAUCCCUCAGCUCCUGCAUUGCGUUUCUUAAAGAGUCCAUAUUUUGCUGCAAAUCCCUGAUGGAGACUGCGUGCUUGGCUGUGCAGUCCCAUAAGCGAGUUACAACAUCCAAGAUUGGGCUCACACAAUCCAUUCCUUGUCUUGAGAGAUGAAAGAAAGAAGGGGUGAAAUUCAAGGAAAGAUGAGAAAGUGGGAGAGCAGAGAAGACUUCUGGUGGUCAAAAACAGUUCAAUCUCUCCGAUUAAGGAAUUUCGAUAUGGGUGAUCGCGUUAUCGCUAGUCACACAAUUGGAGGACACCCCUGACCCCACCUCUGACAUAACUUCGAUAAUUUUAUUCGAAGGCUGCUUUUCCACCCGUUAUCAUUUUCUUCUCAAGUGUGGACUUUACUUUCUAAAAAGACAAGGAAGUUUCAUAUUAAGAUUCCGUAGUGUUUCCUGUUAUGACUCCCUGAUCACAUUCUGGGUGUGAUUAAUUAGUCAGGGUUUUAGCUCUUCUACAGAAAUUGGUUAACUUUAUCAUGGUUUAACUUAAAAUUUGCAAGUAUGAAUAAAUUAAUUAAAUUUUUGAAGAAUCUGACUGGCAAAACCUUUUGCUCUGGAUGAGAAAGUUUGUGAACUCUCUGAUCAGAAAUUACCCCUCGUUUUUGCUGUCUAAUAGGAGAAUCUUGCUUGCAACCAAAUGAAUGGAAGAUGAUGUUUUAAAUCACUUCGGAAAACUUUUUAGAAUGUAGGGAAUCAUGUUAGGAUAUAUGUUGUGAGACACAUGGAGAGAAUAUAAGGUUAUGUUUGGCAUCAAUUUUUAAAAACAGUUUUCUAUUUUUUGAAAACAAGAAAAAAAUUCAAGAGUGUUUUUAAAAAACACUUUUUAAUUGUUUUCAAAUGUCUUCUCGGUUGUGGUUGUUUUGCUACUGAAAGCUUUAAUAUAAACAUUGUUAGUUCAAGAAUGUAAAAAUAAAAUAAAGAUAUAUGAAAUUUUAACAUAAUUAUGUUAAACAAGUAUACAUCCAUAUAUAAGAGAAAUUAUUUCAUUAUCUCAUAAAGAAUAUUAUCGAUAACAGAAUUAAAUAUAAUUAUUGAGUUUCCAAAACAUUUUAUAUUUCCCAACUCCUUAUAUUUAUGCCCAAAACCAAGAGUCCCCUCACUUUACGAAUAUCUCCCAUUCUUCUUCAUCUUUCUAUCCAUCUCGUAUGAUCUCUUCAAACCCAUGUAAUCUCAUAACUUUUUCCACUUAUGACUUAAAAUAUUCAUGGAGAUAUUCCUAAUAUUUUCUUUAUUCUAUAAGGAAAUAUAAUAUUAUAACAUAUUUAUUUGGAAUAUAUUUUAUACAAUAUUCUUUACAAAAAUAAAUCAAUAGUAAUUAGAGAUUUGAUAUGCUUUUUAACAAUGUCCUUUUUGGGUGAAAUUAGAGCAAUAUUUUGCAUCUCAAACCAGGGCUAAAAUCGGACAGUUUAAGGAUCAACUUAAGACUACGAAAAAGGGAUCUUUGAAUGUUGUUGAAUAUCUAUCCAAAAUCAAGAGUUGUGUUGAUUCUUUAACCUCGGUUGGUCACAUACUUACAGAUAAGGACCAUAUUGAUGCUAUUCUAGAUGGCCUCAUUGAUGAGUAUGAUGCUUUCAUCACCUCCAUCCUUACUAGAUCUGAAUCAUAUACAAUAGAAGAAGUUGAGUCUUUGAUUAUGGCAUAAGAAACUAGAAUUGAAAAGAAUGCUAAAUCUCUUGAUUCUGCAUCAAGUGUCAGUUUUGCCUCGUCUUUUACUAAUAAUGGUUUUGGAGGUCGUGGCAGAAGCAAUUUCUCUACCAACUUUGGUCCUGGAAGAGGUCAAGGUAAUGGAGGUCGUUUCAAUGCUGGAAACUUUGGUAGAGAUAGAAAUUUUAAUGGAGGCAGAGGAAAUGGUGGCAGAUCUGGCUGGAAUAACAACUGGAAUAAUACUGGCAAACCUCAGUGCCAACUUUGUCGAAGGUUUGGACAUGAAGUUAAGAGGUGUUACUACAGGCUUGAUCCAAGUUUUGUUAGUCCAACCUCUUCUUCUCAAAAUAGUCGUGGUCCUCGUGCUUAUUUCAGCCAAGCCUCUCCUCAUUCCUCAACUUUGUUUACAACACCUGAGGUGUUCAAUGAUAACUCUUGGUACCUUGAUUCUGGUGCUUCAAAUCAUGUCACACCAAAUGCUAUAAUCUUCAGCACAACACUGAAUUUACUGGUGAAGACAAAGUACACAUUGGUGAUGGUUCAGGUUUGUCAAUUUCACGAAUUGGUCAUUCUUCUUUACUUUCCUCUCUUACUCCUAAAGUGCUCUCCUUAAAUCAUAUGCUUUUGGUUCCUUCUAUUACAAAGAAUCUUCUUAGUGUUUCCAGAUUUGCAAAAGAUAAUAAUGUCUUCUUUGAAUUCCAUUCCGAUGCUUGUUUUGUUAAGGAUCAGGAUUCUCAAACCGUUCUUCUUACCGGGAAAGUUAAAGAUGGUCUAUACUCGUUUGAUUCAUCAAAUUUGUGUCUUGCUCAUCCAGAAGCUGCCUUCAACAUUUGUCAAUCAUCCUCUAUUGUAAAAAGCUGCAAUGUUCAAACCUGUACUGUUUCAAAUCCUUGUGAUUCAAUAAAGCCAAAUGUCUUUGAUCUUUGGCAUGCCAGAUUAGGUCAUCCUUCUAUUCAAGUUGUAAAAACAAUUCUUUCACAGUGUAAUGUCCCUAAUAUCAAUAAAAUGACACCUUCAUUUUGUUCAUCAUGUUGUUUAAGCAAAAUUCAUAAAUUUCCAUUUUCCAAAUCUGAAACAGUUUAUACCGCUCCUCUACAAUUGAUUCAUUUUGAUCUAUGGGGUCCAGCUCCUGUCCCUUCAAGUAGUGGUUAUAGAUACUAUGUUCAUUUUGUGGAUGCCUAUUCUAAAUUCACCUGGUUAUAUCUUCUUAAAAAUAAAUCUGAUGUCGUCCAAACCUUUAUCAAUUUCAAAACUCAAGUUGAAUUUCAACUUGACUCCAAAAUAAAAGCUUUUCAAUCUGAUUGGGGUGGUGAAUUUAGAUCUUUUCAGUCAUCCUUACUCAACAUGGUAUCAUUCAUAGAGUGUCUUGCCCUCAUACUCAAGAACAAAAUGGAGUGGCUGAAAGAAAACAUCGGCACAUUGUUGAAAAUGGUUUAGCCUUGUUAGCUAAAUCUUCAAUUCCUCUCAAAUAUUGGAAUGAAGCUUUUAGAACUGCUGUGUUUCUUCAUAAUAGACUUCCAACUCCUAUCCUGAAACAAAAAUGUCCUUUAGAACUUCUCUUCAAAACCAAACCCAACUAUUUUUUUCUAAAAGUGUUUGGUUGUGCAUGCUAUCCUAACACUUGUCCUUUUAACAAACAUAAAUUGGAAUUUAGGAGCAUUAUUUGCAUUUUUAUGGAAUACAUCUUAAACCACAAGGGAAAUAAGUGCUUGGAUUCAAAUGGAAAGCUAUAUAUUUCUAGAGAUGUUAUAUUUGAUGAAAUAACAUUUCCAUUUGCUCAAACUGAUCAAUCUUCCUAUUCUAUCCAUAAUUCCUCUUCAUUGUCCAAUUCUACUCCAUCUGCUAGUCCACCUAUUCUCACAAUCCCCUCUCAAACUCAUUCUCAUCCUAUUCUCACAGUCCCCAUUGACAGGCCAAUCAAUGAGGUUGAUUUACCUUCUGUUCCUGAUGUACAUUCUAUUUCUCUAGUAACUGAUGUUGUUGUGCAGGAUAUUGUUCUUCUGGUAAUACUAAUUUGAAUAGAAUGACAGGUCAACCAAGAGUUCAAGGGAACACUCAUGUCAUGACAACAAGAAGAAAAAAGGGCAUUGCCAAACCUAAAGUGUAUAUUGCAGCAGUAAAGGAACCAGAGACAGUUGAGUUAGCUUUACAAAAGGAUGAGUGGAAACAAGCCAUGAUAUCUAAGUUUGAAGCUUUGCAAAGAAACAACACUUGGUCUUUAGUACCCUUGCUUGAAGAAAGAAUACCUAUUGCUUGUAGAUGUGUCUAUAAGGUCAAAGAAAAUCCUGAUGGUAGUGUCGGAAAAUACAAAGCUAGGUUAGUAGCCAAGGGCUUCCAUCAAUAAGCUGGAUUUGAUUUUAAUGAGACUUUUAGCCCAGUUGUGAAACCAACAACUAUCAGGAUUGUACUCACCAUUGCCUUAUCUAGAGGUUGGAGUGUUAGGCAAUUGGAUAUAAAUAAUGCCUUUUUGAAUGGUAUUUUACAAGAAGAAGUGUUUAUGUCACAACCUCAAGGCUUUGUGGAUGAGAAACACCCUGAAUAUGUUUGUAGACUACAUAAAGCUCUCUAUGGACUCAAACAGGCACCACGGGCUUGGUUUGAGAGACUUCACAAAGCACUUCUGUAGUUUGGAUUUGUCUCUUCCAAGGCAGAUCAAUCUCUCUUUUUCAGGAUUACAUCAACUCAUACCACCUACAUUAUUGUCUAUGUAGAUGAUAUUUUGGUAACUGGAAGCAAUGCAGAGGUAGUAACUACUCUUAUUAAACAAUUGGAUGUUGAGUUCUCUUUGAAAGAUCUAGGAGAAAUAACCUAUUUUUUGGGCAUUCAGGUUACUCGUACAGUAAAUGGGUUUCAUCUCUCUCAACAAAAGUAUAUAAGGGAUCUUUUGGUGAAAACUAAAAUGUUGCAGGCCAAGGGUUUUCCCACUCCCAUUACUAGUGGCUUAAAGAUUAGUUCCCAAGAUGGAGUACCAAUUGAAAAUGCUCAGCUAUACAGAAGUACAGUAGGAGCUUUACAAUAUGUUACCGUAACUAGACCUAAAUUGGCAUAUAGUGUCAAUAAAGUUUGUCAAUUUAUGCAAAGGCCUACGGAUGAGCAUUGGAAGGUUGUAAAACGCAUUCUAAGGUACUUAAGAGCAACCAUGGAUUAUGGCAUUCAUUUAAAGAAAGUUGUUGAGUUGAGUUCAAUUGGAUUUUCUUAUGCUGAUUGGGGUUCAAACCCUGAUGAUAGACGAUCGGUUUUAGGUCACUGUGUCUUCUUUGGCAAUAAUAUUGUGUCUUGGCAUUCCAGAAAACAACAAACAGUUUCCCGUUCCAGCAUAGAGGCAGAAUAUAGAAGUUUGGCUGAAUUAGUUGUUGAAGUAACCUGGAUUCAAUCCUUACUAUCUGAAUUGCAGUGCAAGACACCUAGAAUACCGGUUCUAUGGUGUGAUAAUCUCAGCACAGUUUUGUUAUCUACCAAUCCCAUUCUUCAUGCUCGAACAAAGCACAUAGAAUUGGAUAUUUACUUUGUAAGGGAAAAAGUUUUGAAGAAAGACAUGGAUAUAAGACAUGUACCAGUAAAUGAACAAGUGGUUGAUAUUCUAACUAAAGCAAUCUCCAGUGGACAGUUUAAUCAAAUGAGGAACAAACUCAAAGUGGAAGGCCUUACAACUUUGAGUUUGAAGGGAGAUGUUAGGAAUAGUGGUUAAUGGUUGUUGUCCACGUGUAUAGCUUAGUUAGAAUAAAACAGAAUUAGUUGGUUGUUUUUGUUAGUAUAAAACAGAGUCAGUUAGUUGACUAAGAAGGGUAUUUAUACCUUGCUGUAAUCAUUCAUUCUUGGGUAAUGAAAAAUUCCUUUCUCUGUUGAGUUUUCUUAUAGUUUUUAGCAUUAUUUUCGAAAACACUUUCCAAAUAGAGUGUAAAUGUUGGUCAUUCUAUGUGUAAGGCAAUUGAAAAGAGAGAAAGAGAAUCAAAUUGAGAAGAAAAUGGACAAGGAGAAAUAUAAGAGGAUGAAAUGAAAUGAAAAGAAUAAAGAAUUUAGUUAAUGUGUUUAGAAUGCACACAACUCAAUAUUAUGGAAGGUGUUGUAUUGUAUAGGGAUGUGAAUAAGAUGGGUUUUUUUUGUUUCCCAUCUCACUCCUUAUAGAAUAAAUUUAUGAUAACUAUAAAUGAGAUUUGUGAUGGGUAUGACUUUAUCAUGUCUCAUCCCAAUUAUAUAUAUUAAAUCAAAAUUUUGUUUUAUUUGAUUUGAUUUUUUAUUUCUCAAAUUUUUUUGACAUAUAUAACAUAGAAAAUUUACUUUUUAUAAAAAUAAGUCAUAAAUAUUUAUUAUUUAUAACUUGUAUUUAUUUUUAAUAUAUUUAAAAUUUUUUAAAUAAAAAAAAUUAAAUGAGUAGGACAAAUAUAAGAAUUUCUACACCCAUCCUACCCCCGCAAUAUUUAGUUUUGUUUUUUUAAAUAGGGAUUUGAAUAGAUAUAAAUAAAUAAGAUGGAUGGUGUCAUUGUGUUGUGUAAUAACAUUUGAUAAUGGUGAUUAGUGACUAACAACCUUUAUCAAUAGUGGCCGAAAGAGACAAGCCCAUACCAUUCUCCUGUCCCACAUUACUUCAACAAUGCAAAGUGAAGGCUCUAGUAUUCCUAGUUUUCAUUAAGCUUCUAUCCCAAAUCUAUUAUUUCCCUUUACCUAUUAUGCUUCAACUUUCAUAUUUAAUCAAGUAUUUAAUAAUUUAAAAUCAAAUUAUUAAUUAUUUGUUUCAUUUAUGGUCUUCAUAUCAUAUUAUGAGGGAUCAAAAGGAAGAAAUAUGAUAGAAAACUGAAAUUGUUAAGAGAUUUCUACUAUGAAACGUUAACAAAUUAAGUGAAAUUUGAAAUGAUAUUUGAAAUUAGGUACUCAUGAAUAAAUAACUCAUCCAAAUUUAUUGGAGCAAAUGUCCAAGGUAAAAUAAUGUAAACAAAGUUGAAAAUGGAUUAACCAUUAACAUCGUCAAGGCUUCAAAAAUGAAAAUUUAAAUUUCAUAGUGAUUCUUUAAAGUAAGCAAUUUUUCAUAGUUGUAUGAAAUAAUUCUGAAAAUAAACAUGGGACCCAUAUAGUUGUAAUUAAGUUUCAUUGAAAAAAAAAAUCAGGAACCAAGUCUUUUUGUUUAAUAUAUUUUAUAUUUUUAUUUUCAAAUAAAAUAGAAAAUAAGUUGGAGAAUAUUUGUAGGGAUCCAUCAAUAGUAAGUACUAAAGUGUAUUUUUUAAAAUUUAAGAAAGUAAUUUUUUUUAUUUUUUAAAAUUUUAAAAAAGUUUUUAACGACAUGGUGAUAAAUUUCCUUUUUUAUUUUAAUGAUUUAUUUAUUUUUAUUUUUUUAUAAGGCUGUUAUAUUUUAUAUAAGAAUUUUUAAUUUUAAAAGUAAAGAAUAAGAAGUAUAUCCAAUGAAUGCUUUAAACUAACACCCAUUAUUUGAGGGUUUUUUUAUUUUUAUUUUUUAUGGGAGUAGAGUACUUUUAAAAAACUCGUAACAUAAAAAAUAAUUUUAAAAUUAUGAUGCUUUUCAAUUUCAAGUAAAUCUCAUCUUUUAAAAAGACGAGUUUAAUGUAAAAUGUUUUCAAAUAGAAAAAGAAUUUAUCAUUUGAAAAGUUGAAUUCAAUAUAAAAAAGUGAACUUAUUUUUUUUAGAAGAUGAGUUUAGUGCAAAAAUAAAAGAAAUGAUGAAAAAAUCUGUAUUUUUGUAUUUAUUUUUUAAAUAUUAUAUUUUAAUAAUAUAUAUAUUUUUAAAAAAUAAUAUUAAAAAAAAAAAAAUCACGUCGGUAGUCUUGGUUAUUGGCGCCACAAUCUGUCAUGGGCUCUAAAAAAAAAAAUCUUUUUUUUGCGGUCCAAGAUAUAGAAAUUCAACAUAGCAAGAAGAAAAGAUAACAGAAUAAGUGAUGAGUUGCUUGAGAGUGGUUUGCCCGAAUCUCAAUCCACUAAUUUGAACGAAAAUUGCUUAUACUUUAAUGUUAUGUUUAUUUCUCGAAAAAUUUAAGAGAAAAUGUGAGAAAAAGAAAAUAAAAAAAAUAUGAGAAAAAUAAAAAACAAGAAAAAUAAAUUCAAAAUCAAUAAAUUAUUUUAUAUACUUCUUCAAAUUAAUUUUACUUAUUUUCUUUCAUUAUAUAAAUAUUAAAUAAUUUUAAAAUUCAUAAAUUUUUAAUUAAAUUUAGUUAUAUUUGAUUUUUUUUCCUAUUUCUUAUAGUGAAAUCAAAUAUAAUAAAACUUUUUUUUUUAAAUAUUUUUUGCCUUGGUGCUGAACCAAACAUAAUCUAAGUAAAUUUGUUCAAAUAUUUUUGUACAACUCACUUUGCAUGUAAAUGUUUCAAAAAAUGAAAAGUUUUAACAUUUGAAUUGGGGAUUCUUCGUAUCAUUCUCCUUUUGGAAGUAGUUAACUUUUUUAUGGCUUUAAAUUAAAAUUUGCAAAUAUAUAUAUAUAGAACAUAUUGAGAUUUUUAACAAAAUCUAAGUAGAAAGAAAACUUCAACUUUGGAAGAGAAAAUCUAUGAAAACUCUUAUCCAAAAUUACCCCUUGUUUAUAGAAGAAUCUUGCUUGCAACCCAAAUGAAGAGGAGAUAAUGUUGUAAAUCACUUUGGAAUCUUUUACGAAUAUACCAAGACUUCUUAUAUUUUGUCUGAAUGCUCAAAAACAGCACCCACUAUUAGGACAGUCUAGGCGUCUUGGGCCACAAUCUGUCAUGGUCUCUAAAAAAUAUCAUUAGUUUUAUGCAUGUUUCCAUUCUUUUUCUUUGAUCCUUGUUUUUUAGUCCACUGAGAAAAUAAUAAGAAAUCAUUGUAAAAAUAAGACCCCGAAAUUCAACAUAGAAAGAUGAUAAGAGAAUAGAAUAGAAUAGUAGGUGAUGAGUUGUCAAGGGAGGUUUGCUCAAAUCUCUAUCUCCUAAAGGUUAUUUUAUAUGGCCAUUUGCAGUUUCAUUAAGCCUCGAUUUCAAUAUAUUAUUUCCCAUCACCGCUUCAACUAUCAUAUUUAAUUAAUUAUUUAAUCAUUUAAAAUCAAAUUAUUAAUUAUUUGUUGGACUUUUGGUUUCAAUACCAUGAUGGAUAAGGAUGCCAACCCAAAAGAAAUAUAAUAUACAGCCGAAAUUACUUAGAAACCAUUGCACCAAGACAAGAGAGCAAAUCAACUGGAUCGUCAUUGGCCGACAAUAUAAAUCAAAGAACAAAUUUACUUCUCUGAAUAUGAGAAAGAACUUCAUUUCUUUCUUAAAUUUAUACAAUAAUGAAGUGAAUCUAAUUAUUUAGCGAUUCUAUAAUGGAAAUGUAAAAUUUUUUAAUUGAAUUUGAACCUUACUUAGAAUUAGGCCAUAAACGAAGAACUAAUCCAAACUUAUUGGUGUUAAUUGUUGCACCUGAGAUAAUGUAAACAAAAUUUAAAAUAAAAAGUUAAAUUCAUUCACCUAUCUCGUAAUUGCUUUUAAAAUUAAUUAUACAAAUAUAGAUAAUAAUUAAAAAUAAAGUAUUAUAUAAAAAAAAAUUAUUUUUAAAACAUAUUCAAACUCUUAAAAUAUGUUUAAAAUAUUUCAGAUUUUAAAACAAAAUUUUAUUUUAUAAAACAUUAUAAAAUAAUUUUAAAAAACUAUUUUAUUUUAAAAAACAGUUACAGACAAACUAUAAUUUUUUCUUAUAAGUUAAUGUGUUUGAACUAAUUAGAAAUGAGAAUAGGAGCAAAAUAUUUAUUUUCAUGGAAACCAAAAUACAUUUUUGUUAGGAUUUUGACUUCUUCUUCCAUAAGGUAUUGUACUUCACCUAUAUUUUGAUUUCAAUUAUUACACAUUUUAAGGCAUAGGUUUUGAGGUAUGCUCAUGCCCUAAAUCUUUUGAAUUACUAUGCUAUACUCAUAUUUUUAGUGACCAUAAAUUAGAACCCCGUCUAAAGUAUAUACUUUCAAAAACAUCUAUAAUAAAACCUAAAAUUUAUCAAAUGAAAAAGUUAAUUAAUAUUUCAUUAUUAGAAAAGAUAAAUCAUAUAUCAUAGAGUGAAAUAUAAUUUUUUUAUUUAUUUCAUUUUUUGCUUUAUUAACUUUGUAUUUUACAAUUUUUAUUAACAUUCAUUAAAUUUAUAGUUUUAUGAUUUUGUUGUUUAGUGAUCAAAAUCAAUGUGGCAUAAAUGGUCAAGGUAUUAAUGCUUUGCUUGUUUGAAUUUUAUUUUAAAAAAGAAAAAAUCAAAUCAACCCAUGGGGCCAUGCAUUUUAAAUCAACCAAGCAAUUAAUAAUUAGAUUUUAAAUUAUUAAAUAAUUAAUUUAAUAUCAUAGUUAAAACAGAAUAAGUAAUGGGAAAUAAUAAAAUAUGACAUAGAGGCUUAAUGAAGUUGCAAAUGAUAAUAUAAAAGAAAGACCCUGUAGUGGAUUCAGAUUUGAGCUAAGCGUGUGAGCUCAACAAGAAAGAAAAGAACAAAAGAGGUGAUGAACAUUACUCCUCUACUCCUAUGGUUAAUAAAUAUCUGUUAGGAGAAAAAGGAAUAUCGCCCAAUAUGAAAUUGUUGUAAUCUUUAGCAGCAAUUUCAGCUAGCUUAGAGAAAGUGGUUGUCGAAAAGAAAAGAAUAUCUUGAGAGAUGAAAGAAACAAGAGGUGAGAUUCAAGAAAAGAAGAGAAAGUGGGAGAGCAGAGACGAUUUGUGGUUGUCGAAAACAGUUCAAUCUCUCCGAUUAAGGAAUUCCAAUAUGGGUGAUCGCAUUAUUGCUAGUUACACUGUUGGAAGACACCCCUGACCCCACCUCCGACAUAACUUCAAUAAUUUUAUUCAAAGGCUGCUUUUCCACGCAUUUCAUUUUCUUUUCUGAGUGUCGACUUUACUUUCUGAAAAGACAAGGACGUUUCAUAUCAAGAUCCCAUAGUGUUUCCUGUUAUGAGUCCCUGGUCACAUUCUGGGUGUGAUUAAUUAGUCAGAGUUUUAGCUCUUCACUUGUGGUUGUCAAAAACAGAUCAAUCUCCCUGAUGAAGGAAUUCCAAUUCGCAGUGUGGACUUUACUUUCCAAAACGAAAAAAAAAGUUUGAUGUCAAGAUUCCAGAGUGUUUCUUAUUUUGAGUCCCUGAUCACAUUAUGGAUCUGACUAGUCUGGGCUUUAGCAUUUCAAUAUAUCAGACUGCUCCUCAUCCCUUUGAAGUGAUUGAUCAAGGGAGGCUAUUGGUUAUUAAUGGAGCUGAAUAUGCAAUCCUUUGGAAGGCGUUGUGCUGUGCAAUGACAUCUGAUAAUGGUGAUUAGUGGCCCACAAUCUUGAUUAAUGGUGGCGAAAGAGAUAAGGCCACUACCAUUCUCCUGUCCCACAUUACUUCAAUAAUGGAAAGUAACGAGUACUCCACUACUCACCAGUUUCAUUAAGCUUCUAUUCCAAAUCUAUUAUUUCCCCUUACCUACUCCGCUUCAACUAUCAUAUUUAAUCAAGUAUUUAAUAAUUUAAAAUCAAAUUAUUAAUUAUUUGUUUCAUUUAUGAUCUCCAUAUCAUAUUAUGAUGGAUGAAGAAAUAUGAUAGAAAACUGAAAUUACCAAGAGAUUUCUACAAUGAAAUGUGAACAUAUCAAGUGAAAUUUGAAUUGAUCUUUAGAAAUAGGUACCUGUAAACAAAAACUAAUCCAAAUUUAUUGGAGUAAAUGUCCAAGGUAAAAGAAUGUAAACAAAGUUGAAAAUGGAUUCACCAUUACCAUCUUCAAUCAAGAAUGAAAAUUAAUAUUUUCAUAAUGAUUCUUUAAAGCUAGCAAUUUUUCAUAUUUAUAUGAAAUAAUUUUGAAAAUAAACAUGCAUGGGACCCAUAUAGUUGUAAUUAUUUUUCAUUGGGAAAAAAAAAUAAGGAGACAUAAAUAUUAAGUCUUUUUGUUUAAGAUGUUUUCUAUUUUUAUUUUAAAAAAAUAGAAAAUAAGUUGGAGAAUAUUUUUAGGGAUCCAUCUAUCGUAUUAAAGUGUAUUUUUUUCUAUAGGUAUCGAAAGACAUCAUCAAUUAGGUGGUGACACAUAUACAUCUUCAAAUAUUUUUUAUUUUAUUUCAUAUUCUAAUCACAUUUAUUUGUAUCUUUAUACCUUGGUCUCAUCUGUUUAUACUCUCAUUUGAUGACCUUGAUCUUACCAUACACAUUCAAUAGUCGAACUUUAGAUACUUCCCAACAUUUAUUAUUGGGAAGCGCUUCAAAUUCCUUUUGCGUUUGGAUUGCUUUAUUUAUUUAUUUAUUUUCAUUAAUAUGUUUACUUUGAUACCUUCAUUGAAUUGUCCCUGAGCCCAGGUUAAAAUUUGUGAAAAGGUAAAAAGGAACACAAAAACACAAAACAAUAAUAAAAGAAAUUUUAGUUGAAUGUGUAGUCAACUGUACUCUUGUAAAGAAGUGAUAGAAAGAUUCAAUUAUGUUUUUCAUCUUCUCCAUGGCAUUUAUGAAAUAUUCAAGGAUAUUUUAUAGAUUAAAGAUAUAAUAUGCUUGUUUGGGUUUUAUUCUGAUUCACCUAUAUUUAUUUAAUAAAAUUAAAAAGUAAAUAAAAUUUCUAUGAUCUAUGUAUGAAGUCAAUUUAAAAAAAAAAAAUCAUAUCAUGAUCGGUAUUAACAAGAUCAAUAAUCUAUAUCUAAAAUCAUCUAAUUUUCUAAAUUAUAUAUUGUAAAACCAAGGUUUGGUUAAUUUUGAUUUUGAUGAUAACAAAAUAAGAUUUAGAACUAAUGAUUAUAUUUCAAGUGUGAUUAAGCAAAAAGAUUUCCAAAAUGACAAUCAUAAAGACAAAUCAAGCCAAAUAAAAAUCAUGAAGAAGAAGACGACCUCAAAGACCCAAGCUUCAUAAGAUUUUUUUGUAAGGUUGUUGGUGCACUAGAAUUUUCAUGCAUUACAUUCUUUACUUAUCCACCAAAAUUAUCCAAGAGUUAUUUUGUUUUAAAUUGGAUGAUUUCAUGUUAUCAAUUAAAACCUUGUCAAAUAUUUUUCAAACUUGUUUAAAAUGUUUUAAGUUGAAAAAGUUGGUUGUUGAGCAAAAAAUGGCUCAACCAGUUGAACCGGAUGAGGAACCAGUCGACCCCUCAACUCAACCGAUCGAGAGGUGCAAAAAAUCUUCUCUCUCUUCCAGAACAGUUGUUCAACCGGUCAAUGUGUGACCAUUAACCAGUUGAGAUCAAACGGUCACCUGUUAAGCAUUAAAUGCUAACAGCUAGUCAACUAGUCGACCUCUGGCUUGAUCGGUCGAACCCCCAACGACUAGUUUGGUUUUUUUCCUUUAUAAAAAGGCUCCAAAUCUUCAUUUUUUAUGAGUUUAACCUUCCCAAACCUUUCUUGAAUAUAUUUGAGUUUUGGAAGAGUGUUUUUUAGUGCACCAUUGUUCUAAAACUUGCAUAUCUUUUGUGCAUCAUUCAAUCUUUGAGCCUAAAGUUUUAUACUAGGAGUUUGUGAAAUUAUUUGUAUACUUUGAGAGGAAGAAUCUAAGUAUAAGGUAUCACUUAGGAAUUCUCAAGUGAGAAGUAUCACUUGAGGGGUUGUCUAAAAGUGGGGUAUCUCUUGAGAAGUGUAAAGGAUGCUUGGAGUCAAAAGUCCAAGAGGGUGGAUUGGAACCAUAAUCCAAUUGUAUUGCUUGAAGUCUUGGUUUGCAAGCCUUAAAUUAGUGGAAUCUCAAGUUUGGGAUUAAAGUUAAAGGAGAGUGGAUGUAGGCCGAGUUGCGUAGAACUACUAUAAAAUCUUGCGUUUGCAUUCUCUCUUCCCUAUUCUUUUACUUUAUAUUCAAUUGUCUUUAUAUUGUUUUAUUAUAUACUUGUAUAUGAUUGUCUCUUAUAUUCACGUAGUUUAAAUUUGGAAAAAUAAAUCAUCACCCUUUUCACCUCCUCUCCCUUUAUGGUGAUUACCAUAAGUUGGAUUAGCCUAAUUUUUCUAACAUGUAUCAUCAUAUAACCUUAAUUUCUCUUAAAAGAAUAAUAAAUUAGUAUGAGUGAAAUAAAAUUCUGACAUUCCAUCAUCAAUAAAUACAACUAAAAAUAGUUAAAAGAAGUAAAAUAUUAUAUAUAAAUAAUUAAAAAAACGUAAAAUGUUUCAUCGUUUUAUCUUUAAUAAUAUCAUAGUGAACAAAUGAUAAAAUACAAAUGUAUCAAUAUUUUGUAUUUUAUGAAGUAAAAAGUUAUUAAUAUGUUAUUAUUAAAAAAGAUCAAUUAUAUAUUAAAGAGUGAAAUAUAAUUUUUUAUUUUUUUAUUUUUUCUUUAUUAACUUUAUAUUUUACAAUUUUUAUUCACAUUUUAUUAAAUUUAUAGCUUUAUGAUUUUGUUGUUUGGUGUUGACAUAAAUAUGUGUAUAUAUAAGCAUAAUCAAAGUCAACAUGGCAUAAAUGGUUAUGGUCUUCAUCCUCUGCUUGUUUGAAUUUUAUUAAAAAAAAAAAAAAGGAAAAAAGAAAAAAUCAAAUCAACCCGUGGGCCCAUGCAUUUUAAAUGAUAAUUGAAAAUGUUGACAACACUUUGUUUAAGGGCAAGAGUACUGAGGCAUGCUCAUUUCUUAAGGUGUUAUAAUAUAAACUAGAAAUUCUCUAAAUAUAUCGUGAGAUGGCAGGACAAAAGCUCGAACCUCUUUAAUGUAUGUGCUUUUAAAAACUCGAUUGGUGAAGUAUUACCUAAAAUUUAUUUCAAAUCCCAAGUUGAGAAAUUGUCAUUCUUAAUACAAGCACUCCAAUCAAUUAAAGCGAAUAAAAAUUACAGUAGCUUCAUGGUAUGGCACCUUACAUACAAUCCAAAUAUACAAGAGCUGUUUUCACUCAUCUUUACACACAAUAUAAGCACAAAGGAUUAUUUUUUUUUAUUUUUUUUGUCUCUUUGGAUGUUUAUUUCUGCAAUCCACCCUGUGCACACUUAGCAUCCAGAAAUUCAAACAUUUGCAAGAAGUUUCAGUUGAGUUCGAGCAUUCUUCAAAAUCUUAUCCUACAAAAAUAAAAACACAAAUCAGUUGGAUCAUUGGCCUAUAAUCUAAAAAAAAAAAAAAAAGUGAAUUUGAAUAUUUAACUUAUGCGAACAACAAUUCAUUAAUGUUAUCAAUCAUAACAAAUUAUAAUAAGUAGCUGCAAAGGAUAAGUAUAAACUAGAGUUAUUUACAAUUUAUAUAAUGAAAAUGUAAACAAAUUAAUUCAAAUUUGAAGUAAUAUUUAAAAAUACGUAUCCAUAAACAAACAACUAAUCCAAAUUCUUUAGAAUUGUAAGCCCUAGUUAAGAUAAUGUAGACAAAGUGUAAAAUAAGUUCAUUUUUAGCAUUUUCAUAAUAAUUCUCCAAAGUAGGUAUUUUCAGGUUCUAAAUUUCUCAAGAGUAAAAUAAUUUUGAAAAUAAACAUGCAUGUAAGAGAUGGUUUUAAUUAAGUUUCAUUGUAAAAAUAAAAAAUCAAGAGACGUACAGAAAUAUUAGGUCCUUAUCUCUAGAACAAAUAAUAAAUAAAAAGAUUGAGAUAAUAGUAGUGAUGCAUCAAGUAUGUUAUUGGAUCCAAAAGUUAUGCCUCAAUCUGUUUUACAAACAUGUAUUUUAGGAUAUGGAAAAAGAAAAUAGGAUCAACAUUAAGAAAAGUUAUUUUGUUUGGAGUUUUAUUAAUAGUUUCUUUUUAAAUUAUAACUAAAUUCAUUGGGCUGAGUAAUGGGUGAGGUAAGGAAAAAAAAUAAAACAAAAGAAAUUUAUAACAGAAAAAUGUGAACAUGAAGACACAUGAGACAUUUGAAACUUUGUCCCAAAAAAGAAGGCAGUACCUGAGAGAGCAUGGGAGAAUGUCAUCUUCUCAUAUCUUCACUACCACUCUUUAAAGUAGGGAGUGAAAGUGAGUUGAAUGGUUUCAUCCUUCCACUGCAACCCUUGCCACCACUCUGAUUCCCCUCGAAUCCUCUUUAAACCGUUUCUUGCACUGUUUGAAUCCAAUGGCAGCUUCCUUAGGUUUGGGCAUUCCAUCACGCUGAUGGUUUUCAAGGAAGGAAAUGGCAAGGCUCGUCUACUUAUGCUCCUUAGAUUUGGUAGGUGAUAAAAGUUCAUACUUUCAAGUCUUGAGAAUAUGCCAAGAUUUUCAGGGACCCUACUUGCAUCACCUAUCACUUCUUCCAUGGAUUCACAGUGAUAUACACUAAGAUGUUCAAGACUUGGGAUGUAAAUAAGCCAUGUCAAGUCCAGCAACUUUGGAAGUUGAUUAACAUGUACCGAGCGGAGGUUGUAGAAAAUUGAGUUUGGGAUAUAAUCUGCUACAAAUCCCCGUUUACCCCUCUCAUUUUCUAGAUUGACUUUUAUGUCUUGUAGCUCCCCACAUCUAUAUAUUGCAAGGCUAUGUAGAUGGUUGAUUCUUGGCAAUUGGAGUAUGCUUAUACCUUCCAAGUUCCAAAGGUGUAAACGCCUCAUAGCAUUCUGCAAUUUUUGGGAGUUCAAUAACUUUUGGAAAGACAAAGUACCUACAAUGGGCAAAGAGACCCAAUUUAUGUGCUCCAACCCUUCUAACUCCUCUAAUAAUGCUUUAUUAUCCUCAUGUAAAUAAAUAGCCUUAUCAGCCUUCCUUGAAUAAUUGACUUCCUCCUCUGUGGAUGACGAAAUAUAAUUUCUUUUUGACAACAUAUAUUUAACUCUUAUACUAAAAACUCUCAACAGUGAGAGAUGUGAUAUUACUUCCUUAAAAAUUAUUUCAAGACUACCUUCUAAUAACAGAUAUCUUAGUCUUUUCAAAGUUGCAAGCUCCGGAGACAAUUCUCUUAGAUCUGUAUUUAACAAAUUGAGAUAUUGCAAUGUAACUAAUUUACCAAUUCCAGUAGGUAAUUUAGUUAUUCUAGCAUUUGACAAAUCCAGAACUUUUAUAACCGGCGUGAAAUGAAAGAAUCCACUCGGAAAUGUUCCCAGGCCUCUACUCCUAACAAUUAAAGUCAAGAGAUUGGGAAAAGAUGGUGGUAUAGUGAGUUCUUCCAAACUACUUGUCGACAGGUAUAUCCGUUGUGCCUCUUUCGCCUUUGAAACUUGGUGAACUUCCAUAGUAUCAACUUCUUCUACCAAGAUUAUGUUCUUAUUGCCCCUAUAUUCUGAAGCUAACCAUAAAGCCAUAUCACGAAUGACAUCAUGCAUUUUAACCCUAUCAAAUUCAGCAUUCUCGAAUAGACAUACUGUCUUUAGAUGCUCAAUGAUGUGGUGCCCAUGGUUUAAUGCUUCAUCUAUGCUAACAAAUCCAUCCAAAAACCCUUCUCCAAUCCAAAGGAAUAUAAGAUCCUCAUCCCAAAUUUCAUGGUCCUCUGGGAAUAUAGCAAGAUAUAAAAAACAAGUCUUGAUGGUGUCAUUUGGCAAGUUAUCGUAACUGAAUUUGAGGACCGGAAAUACAUGAGCUCCCAUACCUGAAAACUUUGAUGGAUAAGUCUUCAACAUUUGGAUUGCUCGCUCCCAUUCUUGUGGAGUCUUCUUGUCAGCCAUAGCUCGCCCAAUAGUGACGAUUGCAAGUGGUAAGCCUUGGCAUUCUUUAGCAGCAAUUUCAGCAAGUUGGGGUAUAUCCGAAUGUGAAUUUAGAGUAGUCUCUCCAACCUUCUUCUUGAACAAAUUAAUAGCCUCAUCUUCUGUCAAACACUCCACCUUAAGGCUUUUUUGAGCUUCCAUAUCCCGACAAACAUCCAGAGAACGGGUUGUUAAUAUUACUUAGGACUUGUUUUGGGAAUUAGGAGAAGGAACCCCCACUUUUUGGAGAUCAAGCCGCUCCCAUACAUCAUCUAGCAGCAUCACAAAUCUUUUUGCCUUCAAGACAUUGAAAAUUUCUACUGCUUUUUCAUCCUCGGUUCUGUUUCUCCAUCUGUCUUCAGGAAUGUCUAACUUGUUGUGAAUGACUUCUUGUACUUUUUCCAUACUUGCUGGCCUGGAUACUACUACCCAAAUGGCGAUUUCAAAGAUCUUGCUCACUCUGAUGAACUCAUUAUUGACUUUGGUCAUGAGGGUAGUUUUCCCGGCACCCCCCAUUCCGUACAACCCAAUAAUUCCCAGCUCCUCGUCUUGGAUGCAUCUGCAAACCUCUGUAAACAUCAUAUCUAAGCCCACAGUCUUCUCCAUCGGCCUCUCAUCCACCGGAGCUUGAGGUAACUUAUCAGCCACAACAUCAAAGCGUCCCUUGUUCCUUAAUUCAGUCACAGCACCCAGCUUUUUACUCGCUUUCUUCCCAACCUUGUAGCUGGACCAGCAGUUUCUGGGACAACAAGUUCUAGGGCAUUUCUUCUGGAUUUCCUGAUCGCCUUUCUCCAGGAUCUCGUUGACUUCUAGUUCCAUGGCUAGUACGCUAUGGAGCCAGCCGUCCACUUCAUUUGUGCGCUUCAUUUGCCGUUGAUCUUCAAGUUCAACUCUUCCCUUCACAUCCUGGUAUGCGCUCUUCAGCUCCUGCGUUGCGUUUCUUAACGAGUCCAUAUUUUCCUGCAGAUCCCUGAUGUAGACUGCAUGCUUGGCUGUGCAGUUCCAUACGCGAGUGACAACAUCCAAGAUUGGGCUCACACAAUCCAUUCCUUGUCUUGAGAGAUGAAAUUCAACGAAAAAACAGAAAAUGGAGGGAUGGGUUUUGUGGGAGAGCAGCAGACUUUUUUUUUUUUUUUUGUGUCAAAACAGUUCUCUCUCUCAAUGAGGAGACUUCUAUGGUUCCAUGCACGCGGUAGGUACCGAAGCGUGAAUUCCCACCGUUGGAUAAGUAAAUCCAAUCAAGACCGUCUAUUUGAUUUUACAAAGGGAGGAAUCGUGACAGAAUAUAUAUCGUGAGAGGGACAGCAAUAAUAUUAGUAUUUAAUUUCUUAUUCAUCAAAGCUGAAUAAAAAGGGUUAAGAAAUUAAUGCAUGGAUACAUUUCUCAUUUUAAUUUUUAAAAACAAUUUUAUUUUUCAUUUUAUAAAAAGUAGGUACAUAGCUUGUGUAGUUGAAAAUAUUUUUUUUAAAUUUAAGAAAGUAAAAAUUUUUCACAUUUUAAAUUUUGAGAAAUUUUUUGAACAACAAAAUGGUAAAUAUUUUAUAUAAGAAUUAUUGGUUUUAAAAGUAAAGAAUAAAAAGUGUAUCUAAUGAAUGCUCUAAACCAAUCAAUACUUACAAUUUGGGGGUUUUUUUAUAGGAGAAAAACCAUAACAUAAAAAGUAAUUUUAAAAUUACAACAUUUUUUAAUUUCAAGUAGGCUUCGUCUUUUACACAGACGAAUUUAGUGUAAAAGUGAACUCGUCUUUCAAAAAAUAAGUUCAAUAUAAAUGAACUCAUUUUUUCAAAAAACGAAUUUAAUAUAAAAAGUUUUAAGGUAAAAACAGAAUUCGUGUUUUGAAAAAACGAAUUCGGUACAAAAAGUGAAUUUGUCUUUUAAAAAGAAAAAAAAAGAGUUUAGUGCAAAAAUAAAAGAAAUAAUGAAAAAUAUUAUAUUUGUAUAUUUAUUUUUUAAAUAAUUAUAUUUUAAAGAUAUAUUUUUUAAAGAAUAUUUUAAAAAUAAAUAAAAAUCACGUGGGUAGUCUUGGGUAUUGGCGCCACAAUCUGUCAUGGAACUAAAAAAGAAAUCUUUUUUGCUGUCCAAGACACAGAAAGAAGAAAAGAUAAUAGAAUAAGUGAUGAGUUGCUCGAGCGAUGGUUUGCCCAAAUUUCAAUCCACUAAAGGUUCCUUUUUAUAUGGCCAUUUGCAGAUUCAUUAAGUCUCUAUUUCAAAUUUAUUAUUUCUAAUUACGGAUUCUGCUUCAACUAUCAUAUUUAAUUAAUUAUUAAUUAUUAAUUAUUUGUUGGAGUUUUGGUCUCAAUAUCAAGUUUUAUGAAUACAUUUUUUAAAAGUAUAAAUAAAUUUAUUGAGAUGAGUAAUGCUUGAGGCAAGAAAAAAAAAUAUAUAUGAACAUGAACACCCAGGAGACAUUCGAAAACUUGUCCAGACAAGUAAAAAGAGAGAAAGACAAAAAAGAAAGAAGAAAAAACUAGAGAGUGCCUGAGAGAGCAUGGGAGAAGAGGGUAUUGAGGUGGGAGAAGGAGCUGGAGCAACUUCUCUACCAUCCUCUCGUUUCUUCACCAGAUAAUGAAGUAAGGAGUGAAAGUGUGCUGAAUGGUUUCAUUUUCCCACUUCAACCCCUCCCACCACUCUGAUUCCCCUAUAAUGGUCUUUAAACUGUUUCUUGCACUGUUUGAAUCUAAUGGCAACUUCCUUAGGUUUGGGCAUUCUUCCACUGAUAGGUACGUCAAGGAAGGAAAUGACAAGGCACGACCACUGAUACUCUUUAGAUUUGGUAGAUAAUUCAAGUUCAAACUUUUGAGUCUUGAGAAUAUGCCAAUGUUUUUUGAGAUUCCACUUGCAUCACCUAUCACUUCUUCCAUGGAUUCACAUGUGCUUGCUACAAGAAAUUCAAGUCUUGGGAUGUAAAUAAGCCAUGCCAAGUCCAACAACUUUGGAAGUUGAUAAACAAUUACCACGCGAAGGCUCUGAAAGUUUGAGUUUGGGAUUAGAUCAACUACAAACCCUUGCCCUGUUCCCUUCUUUUCUAGAUCUACUUUUAUCUCUUGCAAUUCUCCACAUCUAGAUAUUCCAAGGAGUUGUAGAUGUUUCAUUCUAGGCAAUUGGAGAAAGCUCAUAUCUUCCAAGUUCCCAAGGCCUAAACGCCUUAUAGCAUUUUGCAAUUUUUGAGAGCUUCGUAACUUUUGAAAGGACAGAGGACCUACGAUUGGAAAAGAUACCCAAUUUAAAUAUGUAUUCCAACCCUUCCAGAUCUUCUAAUAAUGCUUUAUUAUCCUCCCAUAAAUAAAUAGCUUUAGAAUUCUCCUCUGAAUAAUUGGGUUCCUCCUCCUUGGGUGAAUGAUUGCCUUUUUCUUCCUCCAGUAAAUGAUUAAGUCCCAUGCUAAAAUAUCUCAUUAUUAAGAGAUUCGAUAUCACUUCCUUGGAAAUUAUUUUGAGAUAUGACAUGCUAUGUAAUAGCAAAUAUCUUAUUCUUUUCAAAGUCUUAAGCUCAGCAGACAAUUCUCUUAGAUUUGUCCCUGACAAAUCGAGAUAUUGUAGUGUUACUAAUUUACCAAUUCCAACAGGUAAUUCAGUUAUUUGAGUAAAUGACAAAUCCAAAACUUUUAUAAAUGAAAUGGAAGAAUCCACUUGGAAAAGUCUCCAGGGUGUUCUCCUAACAAUUAAAGUCAAGAGAUUGGGAAAAGAUGGUGGUAUGAUGAGUUCUUUCAAGCUACUCAUCGACAAGGAUAUACAUUGUGCCUCUUUCCACUUUGAAACUUGGUGAGCUUCCAUGAUAUCAUUUUCUUCUACCAAAAUUUUGUUCUUGUUGCCACUAUAUACUGUAGCUAACCACAAAGCCAUAGCACGAAUAACAUCAUGCAUCUUGACUUGAUCAAAUCCAACGCUCUCCAAUAAACAUGUUGUCUUUAGAUGCUCAAUGAUAUCGUGCCCUUGGUUAUAUGCUUCAGCUAUGUUGUUGAAUUCAUCCAAAAACCCUUCUCCAAUCCAAAGAAAUAUAAGAUCAUCAUCUAUAAUUUCAUAGUCCUCUAGGAAUAUGGCAAGAUAUAAAAAACAAGCCCUGAUGGUGUCAUUUGGCAAGUUAUCAUAACUGAAUUUCAGGACCGGAAAUACAUGAUCUCCCAUACCUGAAAACUUUGAUGGAUAAGUCUUCAAUAUUUGUAUUGCUCGCUCCCAUUCUCGUGGUGUGUUCUUGCCGGUCAUAGCUCGCCCAAUUGUAACGAGUGCAAGUGGUAGACCUUUGCACUCUUUAGCAGAAAUUUCAGCGAGUUGUGGUAUAUCUGGAUGUGAAUUUAGAGUAGUCUCUCCAACCUUCUUCUUGAACAAAUUAAUAGCCUCCCCUUGUGUCAAACACUCCACCUUAAUACUUUUUUGAGCUUCCAUAUAUAUCACGACAAACAUCCAGAGAUCGGGUUGUUAAUAUUACUUCAGACUUGUUUUGGGAAUUAGGAGAAGGAACCCCCAACUUUUGGAGAUCAAGUCGUUCCCAUACAUCAUCUAACAACAACACAAACCUUUUCGCCUUCAAGACAUUGAAAAUUUCUACUGCUUUCUCGUCCUCACUUCUAUUUCUCCAUCUAUUAUCCGGGAUGUCUAAUUUGUUGCGAAUGACUUCCUGUACUUUUCCCACACUUGCGAGCCUGGACACUACAACCCAAAUGGUGAUUUCAAAGCCCUUGCUUGCUCUGAUGAAUUCAUUAUUCACUUUGGUCAUAAGGGUAGUUUUCCCGUCACCACCCAUACCAUACAACCCAAAUAAUUCCCAGUUGUUCAUAUUGGAUGCAUCUGCAAACCUCUGUAUAAUGUUGAGCUUUGUGGAGCCUAGUUUUAUUUGAUCCGAUUUGACGACCCGACCCGAAUAAUAUUGCAUGGCUUUUUAAUGGGAGAUUUACUGAGGCCUGUUGGGUCCAUUUAACCCAUUGUGGAACCAUCUUUUGUAAUUAGGGUUUUUUAGUGUGGUGUGGUUGCCGUGUUAUAUAUAGAGAGAAAAUAUUGUAGUCGUCGUGGUUGUACUUUGUAUUCUUCCCUGAUAAUAGUGAUAUCCCUGCAACUCUGUGAAUGUAGGCAUAUUGCCGAACCACGUAAUACUAUCUUAUGCGUGUGAUUGUUUUUCUUUGGCGUGUGUUUUUCUCUAUUUUUUGUUUCUCACAGGUUGGGAAUUCAGUUUAAUUCUCUACAACUGGUAUUAGAGCCUAGGGUUAGGUUUGAGUGGGAGCAAUGGCAGAGGAAGCAGGAAAGGCGUCUGGAAUAGAAAAGUUUGAUGGCACAGACUUUGCGUAUUGGAGGAUGCAAAUUGAAGAUUAUCUCUAUAGGAGGAAAUUGCAUCUACCUCUUUUGGGGACAAAACUUGAGAGUAUGAAGGCUAAGGAAUGGGCGCUUCUUGAUAGACAGGUUCUAGGAGUUAUUAGGUUAACUCUGUCUAGGUCUGUUGCACAUAAUGUUGUAAAGGAGAAGACCACAACAGAUUUGAUCAAGGCUUUGUCCGGUAUGUAUGAAAAGCCGUCCGUAAACAAUAAGGUGCAUCUAAUGAAGAAAUUGUUCCAUUUGAAGAUGGUAGAGAAUACAUCAGUAGCACAACAUCUGAAUGGAUUUAAUAUAAUCACAAAUCAAUUGUCGUCUGUAGAAAUUGAUUUUGAUGAUGAGAUUCGUGCUCUGAUCAUUUUGGCUUCUUUGCCAAACAGUUGGGAGGCAAUGAGGAUGGCAGUAAGCAAUUCUACGGGAAAGGAAAAGCUCAAGUACAAUGAUAUACGAGAUUUAAUUCUGGCUGAGGAGAUUCGCCGAAGAGAUGCAGGUGAAACCUCAGGAUCUAGUUCUGCCCUAAACCUUGAGACAAGAGGCAAAGGUAAUGAUAGAAAUUCAAAUCGGGGUAGAUCAAAUUCUAGAAAUUCUAAUCGGAACAGAAGCAAAUCUAGAUCAUGCCAACAAGUACAAUGCUGGAAUUGUGGGAAAAUAGGUCACUUUAGAAGGCAAUGCAAAAGUCCUAAGAAGAAGAAUGGAGAUGAUUCUGCUAAUGCUGUAACAGAAGAGGUACAAGAUGCAUUACUUAUUGCAAUAGAUAGUUCACUUGAUGAUUGGGUUUUGGAUGUAGGAGCUUCGUUUCAUACCACUCCACACCGAGAAAUCAUACAGAAUUAUGUUGCAGGUGAUUUUGGUAAGGUGCAUUUGGCUGAUGGUUCAGCCUUGGAUGUUGUGGGUCUGGGAGACGUUCGGAUAUCGUUGCCCAAUGAGUCUGUUUGGUUACUGGAGAAGUUUCGACAUAUUCCUGACCUGAGGAGGAAUCUGAUUUCUAUUGGACAACUUGAUGAAGGACAUGCAAUACUAUUUGUUGGUGGUACUUGGAAGGUUACAAAGGGAGCUAGGGUAUUGGCUCGUGGAAAGAAGACUGGUACUCUGUACAUAACCUCAUGUCCAAGAGACACAAUUGCAGUUGCUGAUACAAGUACUGAUACAAGCCUAUGGCACCGCAGACUUGGUCACAUGAGUGAGAAAGGGAUGAAGAUGUUGCUGUCAAAAGAAAAACUACUAGAAUUGAAGUCCAUUGAUUUUGACAUGUGUGAAAGUUGCAUCUUAGGAAAGCAAAAAAAGGUGAGCUUCUUGAAAACUGGCAGGACACCGAAGGCUGAAAAAUUGGAAUUAGUACACACUGAUUUGUGGGGGCCUUCUCCGGUUACAUCCCUAGGAGGUUCAAGGUACUACAUCACUUUUAUUGAUGACUCAAGUAGAAAGGUAUGGGUUUAUUUUCUGAAAAAUAAAUCUGAUGUAUUUGAAACUUUUAAGAAGUGGAAGGCCAUGGUUGAGACAGAAACAUGUUUGAAAGUAAAAUGUUUGAGGUCAGAUAAUGGAGGAGAGUACAUAGAUGGAAGGUUCAGUGAGUAUUGUGCUGCACAAGGAAUUAGGAUGGAGAAGACCAUUCCUAGGACACCACAACAAAAUGGUGUGGCUGAGCGCAUGAACAGAACUCUCAAUGAGCGUGCUAGAAAUAUGAGGUUGCAUGUUGGAUUACCAAAAACUUUUUGGGCUGAUGCUGUUAGCACUACAACUUACCUGAUAAACUGAGGACUAUUAGUUCUCAUGGAGUUCAGACUUCCUGAGGAGGUUUGGAGCGGUAAAGAGGUGAAGUUUUCACAUUUAAAAGUUUUUUGUUGUGUUUCUUAUGUUCAUAUUGAUUCUGAUGCUCGUAGUAAACUUGAUGCAAAGUCAAAAAUAUGUUUUUUCAUUGGCUAUGGUGAUGAGAAAUUUGGCUAUAGGUUUUGGGAUGAACAAAAUAGGAAAAUCAUCAGAAGUAGAAAUGUGAUAUUUAAUGAACACGUUAUGUACAAGGAUAGGUCAACUGUAGUGUCAGAUGUUACAAAAAUAAAUCAAAAGAAAUCUGAGUUUGUCAACUUAGAUGAAUUGACUGAAAGUACUGUCCAAAAAUGGGAUGAAGAAGAUAAGGAGAAUGUAAAUUCACAGGUAGAUCUAAGUACACCUGUAGCUGAAGUUCGCAGAUCUUCCAGGAACAUUAUACCUCCGCAACGUUAUUCACCUGUUUUAAAUUAUCUCCUGUUGACUGAUGGUGGUGAGCCAGAGUGUUAUGAUGAAGCCUUGCAAGAUGAGAAUUCAAGCAAAUUGGAGUUAGCCAUGAAGGAUGAGAUGGAUUCCUUAUUGGGGAAUCAGACAUGGGAACUGACUGAAUUGCCAGUAGGAAAGAAGGCUUUGCACAACAAGUGGGUAUACAGAAUAAAGAAUGAGCAUGAUGGUAGCAAGCAUUACAAGGCCAGAUUAGUUGUUAAAGGGUUCCAACAGAAGGAGAGCAUUGACUACACAGAGGUAUUUUCUCCAGUUGUGAAGAUGUCAACAAUUAGACUUGUACUUGGAAUGGUGGCUGCAGAAAACUUACAUCCUAAGCAGUUAGAUGUGAAGACAGCAUUCCUUCAUGGUGACUUAGAGGAAGACCUUUACAUGAUUCAGCCAGAAGGGUUCAUUGUUCAGGGACAAGAGAAUCUAGUCUGCAAACUAAGAAAGAGCUUGUAUGGCCUUAAACAAGCUCCUAGACAGUGAUACAAGAAGUUUGACAAUUUUAUGCAUAGAAUUGGGUUCAAGAAAUGUGAAGCUGAUCACUGUUGCUAUGUUAAGUCCUUUGACAAUUCUUACAUCAUAUUACUGUUGUAUGUGGAUGAUAUGUUUAUUGUAGGGUUUGACAUUGAGAAGAUUAAUAAUCUAAAGAAGCAAUUGUCCAAACAGUUUGCAAUGAAAGAUUUGGGAGCUGCAAAGCAAAUCCUUGAUAUGAGAAUCGUUAGAGACAAGACUAAUGGUACAUUGAAGCUUUCACAGUCAAAGUAUGUGAAGAAAGUUCUCAGCAGGUUCAACAUGAAUGAAGCUAAACCAGUGAGCACACCCUUGGGUAGUCAUUUCAAACUAAGCAAAGAACAGUCACCAAAGACAGAAGAAGAAAGGGAUCGUAUGAGCAAGGUGCCCUAUGCCUCAGCUAUUGGCAGCUUGAUGUAUGUUAUGGUGUGUACAAGGCCAGACAUUGCACAUACAGUGGGAGUUGUGAGCAGAUUCAUGAGUAGGCCUGGAAAGCAGCAUUGGGAGGCAGUCAAGUAGAUUCUAAGAUAUCUGAAGGGUUCAUUAGAUACAUGUUUUUGCUUCACAGGUGCAAGUUUGAAAUUGCAGGGUUAUGUAGAUGUUGAUUUUGUUGGUGAUAUUGAUAAUAGAAAGAGUACUACUGGGUUUGUUUUUACUCUAGGUGGUACAACUAUAUCAUGGGCUUCAAAUCUACAGAAGAUUGUUACUUUGUCUACUACAGAAGCUGAGUAUGUUGCAACAACUGAAGCUGGAAAGGAGAUGAUUUGGCUGCAUGGUUUCUUAGAUGAAUUGGGUAAGAAGUAGGAGAUGGGCAUUUUACAUAGUGACAGUCAGAGUGCAAUUUUUCAUGCCAAAAAUUCAGCUUUUCAUUCAAAGUCGAAGCAUAUACAAACAAAAUACCACUUUAUUCGUUAUCUUAUUGAAGAUAAACUGGUAAUACUUGAGAAGAUUUAUGGAUCUAAGAACCCGGCAGACAUGUUGACUAAGGGUGUCACUAUUGAGAAGUUGAAGCUGUGCGCAACUUCAAUUGGUCUUCUAGCUUGAGGACAGGAGCAUAAGUUGCAGGGAUGAGGGAUUGUUUCUUGGAGGAUAGCGGUUUGAUGUUGGUGAUUGAACUAGUCUCCAAGUGGGAGAUUUGUUGGGCUUUGUGGAGCCUAGUUUUGUUUGAUCCGGUUUGACGACCCGACCCAAAUAAUAUUGCAUGACUUUUUAAUGGGAGAUUUACUGAGGCCUGUUGGGCCUGUUUAGCCCAUUGUGGAACCACCUUUUGUAAUUAGGGUUUUUUAGUGUGGUGUGGUUGUCGUAUUAUAUAUAGAGAGAAAAUAUUGUAGCCGUCAUGGUUGUACUCUGUAUUCUUCCCUGAUAAUAGUGAUAUCCCUGUAACUCCGUGGACGUAGGCAUAUUGCCGAACCAUGUAAAUAUUGUCUUAUGCGUGUGAUUGUUUUUCUUUGGCGUGUGUUUUUCUCUAUUUUUUGUUUCUCAUAGAUUGAGAAUUCAGUUUAAUUCUCUACACAUACAUCAGAUCUAGGCCCACAGUCUUCUUCACCGGCCUCUCAUCCACUGGAGCUUGAGCUAACCUCUCUGCCACAACAUCAAAGCGUCCUUUGUUCCUUAAUUCAGUCACAACACCCAGCUUUUUACUCGCUUUCUCCCCGAGCUUGUAGCUAGACCGUCCAUUUCUAGGGCAACAAGUUCCAGGGCAUUUCUUCUGGAUUUCCUGAUAGCCUUUUUGUAGGAUCUCGUUGACUUCUAUUUCCAUGACUUGUACACUAUGAAGCCAGCCAUCCACUUCAUUGGUGCGCCUCAUUUGUCGUUGCUCUUCAAGAUCGACUCUUCCCUUCACAUCUUCAUGUACAUUCUUCAGCUCCUGCAUUGCAUUUCUCAAAGAGUUCAUAUUUUCCUGUAGAUCCUGGAUGUAGCUGACAUGCUUGGCUGUGCAAUUCCAUACGCGAGUGACAACAUCCAAGAUUGGGCUCACACAGUCCAUUCCCUGUGUUGAGAGAUGAAAUUCAAACAGGACAAACAUGAGAUUAUAAUAGGCAGUCUACACACGAUUAAAGUCAUUUGGCCACUGCUUCCCCUUCACAUUUUGGUUGCGAUUAGUCUGGGUUUUAACAUUUCAAUUAGGAAUUGGUUAACUUGCUUAUGGCUUUAAAUUCAAAAUUAAUUUGCAAAUAUAUAGAAUAUAUUGAAAUUUUUAACAUAAUCCAAGUAGAAAGAAAACUUCAGCUUUGGAUGAGAGAAUUUAUGAAUGCUUCCGAAAUUACCCCUUGUUUUUGCUGUCUAAUGGAAGAAUCUUGCUUGCAACCCAAAUGCAGAGGAGAUAAUGCUGGAAAUCACUUUGGAAUCUUCUUAAGAAUAUGCAAAGAGGGAACGAGAGAGACAAAAAUAAUAUAAAUGUUUAAACAUGACCUAGUCAUCUCAUGGGUGGGGGAAUCCAAAAGGAAGAAAGAGAGAAUCAAAUUGAAAAGGAAAUGGACAAGAAGAAAGAUAAUCAAAACCGAUGAAGUAAUCAAAAAGAAGAAAGAGAAUCAAAACUGAUGGAAUAAUUAGAAAGGAGAAUGAGAAUCAAAUCAAGAAGGAAAUGAACAUGAAGAAGCAUAAUCAAAAUCAAAAUCAAACCAAAUGAAAAGAAUUAAGAAAAGGUUAAAUAUGCUUUACCCUGUUGUCGCGUUUUUCACUUUGUUUUCUUAUGUUCAAAAUCCAAUACUUUACUCCUAAAUUUGUUAAAGAGUAACAGUUUGCCCCAAAUUAAUGACUCUAUAAAAUUAGAAAAGAGAUUAAUCUUUUUUGCACCCUAUUUCGACCAUAAGUACAAUCUUAAAUUGAACCAAUUUUCAAUUAACAACUAUAAAAUGGAAUUUUUGAAACACUUUAAAAAUAUGAUUGCGACUAAUUUUGAUUUUUUAUUUUGAGAAAUGUUAGUAUGAUUAUUUGUCAUUUUUGUAUGCAUUUGCGAAGUAUAACAACUUGAAAUUUUGGAUAGAAUGUAUUUUUUUUUUUACUUUUAUUUUUACAUUUUAGCCUUGUUUCUUUAUUUAACAAGUUGUUUAUUGAAUUCUUAACAAGUUUGAAGAGUAAAGUAUUAUUCUAUAAUAAGUUUUAUAAACAAAGUAUUAAGUUUUAUACGUGAUGGAGUGUAGAACACUUUAAAGUCUGUGGUAAAAUGUAUUUAACCCAUUAAAAAAUUAGUGCAUGUUAAGAUGUAUUUAUCAUUUUUAUUUUUUAUUUUUUGAAUAGAAAGUUUUAUAUAAAACGUAAGUACAUAGCUAGAGUAGCUGAAAAUAUUUUUAAAAAUUUAGGAAAGUAUUCCCCAAUUUUUUAAAUUUUGAAAAAAGUUUUUACAUUUUUUAAAAUUUUUAUAUAAGAAAGUAAAAAAUUAUAGUAAAUUUUGGUGCUUUUUUUUUUUUUUCCUUUGUGUAUGAAUUGUUAUACUUUGGUGAAUGCUCCGAACGAGCAUCACUAUUUGGACAGUCUGGGUGACGGGCUACAAUCUGUCAUGGCCAGUAAAAAAUAUCAUUGGUUUUAUGUUUCCAUUUCUUUUUCUUUGCUCCUUACAAAGAGAAUAGAAUAAGUGAUGAGUUGUCAAGGGAGGUUUGCUCAAAUCUCUAUCUACUUAUUUUCAUGGACGACAUAUUCUUGUUAAGGUUUUGACUUCUCUCUUCCACAAGCUAUUCUGCUUCAUCUCUCGAUCUAAAACUUUUGAUCUACUGUACUAAUUCAUAUUUUUUGAGAACAUAGACUAAAACCCGUCUAAAUUAUUUUAUUUUAAAAACAGGUUUAGGAAAGUAUUACCAAAAAUUUGUUUCAAAAACUAAUGAGUGUAACAAAUAUACAAGAGAUUUUCUCACUCAACUUUACACACAAUACAAGCAUGAAAGGAUUUUCUUUUUCUUUUUCUUUUUAGAUGAUUAUUUUGCAAUCCAUCCUAUGCACAUGUAGCGUCCAAUAAUUCAACAUUUACAAGAAGUUUCAGUUGAGUCAAAUGUUCAUCAAAAACUUGUCCUACAAAAGCAAGAGAGCAAAUCAAUUGGGACAUUUGUCUACUAUUUAAAUCAUAGAACAAAUUUGCUUCUAUGAAUAUGAGAAAGAACUUCAUUUCUUUCUUAAAUUUAUACAAUAAUGAAGUUAAUCUAAAAAUUGUCAUGAACAAUAUUUUAUUAACAUCAUCAACCAAAAUUUUUUCUCAAUCAUUGCAAUAGAUAUGGAAAUGUAAAGAAAUUAAGUUAAAUUUGAUUUGAUAUUUAUAAUUAGGCCAUAAACAAAGAAUUAAUCUAAAUUUGUUGGUCGGAGUUGAAUGCUGGAGCUAAAAUAAUAUAAAUGAAGUUUAAAAUAAAAAGUUAAGUUCAUUUGCCUUUCAUGAAGUUUUAGAUAAAUACACUUAACUCUCAUUGAUCUGAAAUUUUAUCAAAUAUCUAUUUUUAUUCGCCUCCUCUUUUACUAAGAAUAAAAGAGGUAUUUAAUGAAAUUCUAAACAAAUGACAUUUAUGUGUAUUAAGCCAAAAUCCAAUGGGAGGUAAGUGAAGUUAACUUUUAAAAUAAAUUCAUUAUUAACGACUUUAUGACUAAAUUAAAAAAAAAAUUGUAAUACUUUUUCACAGUUUAAGUUCCUUUGUGUAAAAUAAUUUUGAAAAUAAACAUAUAUGAAACAAUUUUGAAAAUUUUUUAUUGAAAAAUUCAAGAGACAAAAAAAUUAGGGUCUAUUUGAUUGCUGUUUUUGAAAACUGUUCUGGAAAACAAAUUUUGACAACAUAUUUUAGUAUUUUCAUAAACAAAUUGUGUUUAGGAACUAAAUUGAGGAAAAUAGUUUUUAUUCUAAAAAAAAAAAUGUUUGGUUGAGUUAAUAAAAAGUUUUUUAAAAUAAGUAAAACAAAAAACAUGUUUCAAUGUAGUUUUUUUUUAAUUAAUAAAAUAUUUUAUUCCAUUAACUUGAUAUUAUAAAUAUAUAAAUAAUUUUUAUAUGCACAAUUAAUUUAAAUUAAAAAAAAUAUUCUAUUUUGAAAUUUUUACACAAAUUAUAAUUUUUUUAAACAAAUCAUAACUUUGUAACCAUGUGUAAGUAUAUUAAUUUUAAUAAUUUAAGAAAGAAGAAAGGGCUUGUGGGUGGGAGUGUGGUGGUUGAGUGUAGCUCACUUCUGUGGAAACACAAAAAGCAAUUAGGAAAACAUAGAAAGAAGAAAGAGAAAACACAGAGAGCCAUCUAUUAUUUAAACAAUGAAAAAACAAUAAAAAAUAUAUUUUUAUUAUUAUAAAACAAUGGUUUUUGAGAAUAAGAAAAAUGCAAAAAACAAAAACAUACCCCAUUCUCAAACAUGUUUUUAGUGUUUUCUGUUUUCAAGAAUGUAAAACAAUUAUUGAAAACAACAACCAAACAGACCCUUAAUAUUUGGUUUUGGAAAAAAUUAGAAACAUAAAUAUAUAAAUUAAUAAAGAAUGAGUUGAUAUUAAUAAUGCAUCAAGUUUGUAGCCGGAUUAAAUGUUCUUCCUUAAUCUAUUUACAAACAUAAAAUUUAGGAUAGGAGAAUAGAAAAUAUGAGGAUCACGAAAAAAGGGUUAUUUUGUUUUUUUUUAUUUUUCGAAUGAGAAGACGAGGGAAGUUUUAUGGAUCCUUUCCUUCUAAACUAUGAUUAAAUUUAUUGAGAUGAGUAACGUUUGAGAUAAGAAAAGAAUUAAAAACAAAAGGGGAAAGAAAAGAAAAGAAAAAGGAAACCAUAUCAUAUGAAUUCCGAAAUGAAGUAAACAUUCUUAUCCACUUAUAGCAUAAAAACAUGAUCAUGAACAAACAUGAGACAUUAGAAAAUUUGUCUAAAUAUGUAAAAAAAAAAAAAAAAAAAAAAAGGAAAAAAGUAGAAUAACUGAGAGAACAUGAGAGAAGAAGGUAGUGGGGGGUGGGAGAAGAAAAAUGAGCAAUUUCUCUACCAUCCUCUCAUUUCUUCCACCAUAUAUAUAAUGAAGUAGGGAGUGAACAUAUGUUGAAUGUUUUCAUCACCCCACAACAACCCCUCCCACCACUCUGAUUCCCCUUUAAUUAUCUUUAAACUAUUUCUUGCACGGUUUGAAUCUAGUGACAGCUUCCUUAGGAGUACCUUAUUAGCUAUAGAGGGUUGUUUUGCUGCAAAGGGUCGUUUGUACAUACUAGUUAAGGCAAUCAUGAGGGACGUCUAUAUAUAUAUAUACACACACAUUGAAAGCAACCGGUUCUGAUAAGGUUAACCUAAUUGCAUCAAGGGCUUUGGGAUCCAUCAAAUUCCAUUUUGUUUCAUCCAUUGAAUCUUGCUUCUCUCCUAACAACAAAUACAAAUCUUUUUGGUAUAGAUAAUCCUUCAUGUGCAUCUUCCAUAAAUCAAAAUUUGUAUCAUCAAAUUUCUUGAUUUUGUAUGAUCCCAUUAUUUCUACUAAAAUUGUAAUUGGUCAAACACAUCAAGCUUAGGGUUUGUGAACCUUGCUUUGAUACCCGUUGUCAACCAAACAAUGCAUACACACAAGCGGAAAUAAAACAAAAAAAUGAGAUUUUUAAUGUGGUUCAACAAUCAAUGCGAUCUCUACAUCCAUGGGGUGCAUCACAUUAAAAAAUCCACUAAUCAAAGGAAAGAGGAGUAUAAUGAUGAAACUCUAAAAAAACUCUUUUCAUUUGCAAUCAUGCUCUCUAAAAAAACCUUAAAAAUAUAACAUGGUUAAAUAUACAAUGGGGGCAAAUUCGUCAUUCAUCACAUGCAAUGGGAGCUCAACCCCCAACAUCUUGAGUAAAGCACAAUAAAAUUGAUUUAGACUUCACAAUUCAAUAACAAUAGCUUACUUGAUGAUGCUAUCUCAUCUUGUUUUUUAUAUCUUUCAAUAUUCCAAGAGGAUUUUCAAAUUUUGAAUGAUACACUUAUAGACCUUUGGAUUGGAGAAGGUUUUCUGGAUGAAUUUGCAGCUUACAUGAAGCCCAUGAGCAGGGAUAUUGAAUCAUUGGAAGUCUAAAGUUUGCAUGUCUAUUUGAGGAAGGUCAACUUGAAUAUCAUAUCAAGAUGCAUGAUGUGAUUCAUGACAAGCGUUAUGGAUAGCUUCUGAAUAUGGUGGAAAGAAGAAUGAAAUCUUGGUACAAGAAGGCAUCAUUUUGAGUGCUGCUGAAGUCACAAAAUCGAAGGAGGCACAUAGAAUGUUGAUAUGGGAUAACAGUUUUGAACUCACUGCACGCACCCCAUUUUCCCAAUCUCCUUACUCUAAUCGUGAAAUCCGAUGUACAAGAGAUAAUAUUUCCCACUGGAUUCUUUCCGUUCAUGCCAAUUAUGAAAGUUUUGGACUUAUCCCAUUCUUAUCUAACUAAGCUACCUGUGGGAAUAGGUAAAUUAGUUAGUUUACACUACCUUAAUUUGUCAAAGACAUGUAUAAUUGAAUUGCCGAUGGACCUCAAAGAUUUGACAAAUCUAAGGUGUUUGAUACUGGAUUCUACUUACUCAGAAUAAUUCCUUCCCAGCUGAUAUCAAAGCUUUCGUCAUUGCAAUUAUUUAGUAUGUGCAUUGACGACAGUUUUUCUUAUAUUGGGGGUGAACACCUAGUAGGCGAGUUGGAUUGCUAGGAACACAGAUGAGAUUUCCAUCACCACACCUAGUCUUCUAUCCAUUCAAAAGUUAAUCAAUGAGCUCUUGGAAGUUGCAGAUGGGGAUAAGAUUAUGGUAAAUUGUAAUGGAACCCUUUAUGAGAGGGACUAUAACCCAAGAAAAUGCAAGGAAUGCUGCGGGGAGAAAGUUUGUUAGGCAUAUAAUCACGCAAGCAAGGAUAAACACGACAACCAAAAGGAUGAAAAUUCUCAUAAUGUGGAGAGUAGCCGUAUAAAAGUUCAAAGGGUGACUUACCACCAAGAAGUGGAGUGGGCAACCGGUUGAUGAUAUAAGUUGCAGUGCUGAAAGCGUCAACCCAGAAACGAGGAGAAAGGUGGGAGUGGAAGAGGAGGGUCAAGCCAGUCUCAGUCACAUGACGAUGUUUUCUCUCAGCACGACCAUUUUGAGCAGGUGUAUAUGGACAAGAGAGUUGAUGAUGUAUGCCAGAAGUACGUAAGUGAGCUUUGAAGCAAGUAUUAGUAAAUUCAGCACCUCCAUCACUUUGAAAAACCUUGAUACGAGCGAAAUGUUGGUUUUCCACAAAUUUUUUAAAUUGAAGAAAAAUAUCAAAGAAAUCAGAUUUAAAUUUCAAAGGAUAAAGCCAAGUAAAUCGGGAAUAAUCAUCAAUAAAAAUAACAUAGUAAAGAAAACCGGAAUUUGAUUUGAUGGGGGAAGGACCCGGAAGAUCACAAUGAAUAAGAUCUAACACAUGAGACGACCUAUGUUCAUUUCGGGAAUAAGGUAAUCGAUGAUUUUUCGCAAGUUGACAAGUACUACAUAGUGAGGGAGAAGGCAAUAAAGACAUAAGAGAAAGAUGUCCUUUUUUAUGUAAAAAAGAAAUUACAAAAUAAUUCACAUGACCUAGGCGAGCAUGCCAUAAAUCAUAUGAAGCACGUAGAGAUUUAUUUUUAAGGACAGAAAUAAAGGCAGAGUUGCCGCGCUCCAACACAUAUAACCCUCCAUCUCUUUUACCGGUCGCCACCACCCUUCCUGUUUGACGAUUCUGGACAGUAAAAAGAUUAUUAGUAAAUGUAACGGAGAGAGGAAAAUCAGACGUUAAUUUACUAAUGGAAAGAAGAUUUUUUAUGAGAUGAGGGACAACCAAUACAUCUAAUAAGUGAAUAUUUGGAACAGAAGAAAGAGUACCAGUGUGGGUAAUGGGUAGAGAGGCACCGUUUCCUACGAUCACAGAGUCCUUACCCAUGUAAUUUUUGGACUGAUCCAAAAUAGAUGGAUCGGUGGUCAUAUGAGCCGAAGCUCCGGUGUCCAAAAACCAGUCAGCAGCCUCGGGUCCAGAAAGAGAACAAGAUGUGUUGAAGGCCUCGGCAAGAUGAGCAGAGGAAUCAGUCCGAGCAUACCGUUGGUUGCAACGGUCAGCAUAAUGGCCCUCUAUGCGAGAAAUUUGGCAGCGAGGUGGUCGACGACCAUGACCAGAGUAGGUUCGUCCUCGGUUGGAAGAGUUGUUGUUGUGGGAAUGAGAACGACCUCGCUGGUUGUUACGGAAAGCAAAUGGAGUUCCAUGGGAAGUGGUGCGACUGCGAUUAGUGGCUGUGAAUGCCGCAGUGGUGGGUUCAGAAGACUCAAGGGAUCGCUGGAACAACUCAAAACUUUCAGCUUUAGAAACUAGAUCUGCAAAAUAGGGGAGAGGGGUGAGAGACAUUUGAGCUGUAGAAAAAUUGGAAAAAUCGGGGCCGAGUCCACGAAGGAACUAGUGCACUUUGUCAGUGUCCUCGACGGGUCUUCCAAUGGCAUGAAGCUGGUCACAAAGUGUUUUGAAGGUACGGGCAUACUCAGCAACGGGUUUGGUGCCGCGUUUCAUCAGCUGCAAGUCAUCCUUGAGUUGUAGUUAACGGGCUUUCGAAUGAUGGCUGAAUGUAUUCUCCAAUGCGAGCCAAACUUCACGGGCAAUGGAGAGACCAACAACGACAGCAAUGGCUUCCUCGGUGAGAGAGGAGAGCAAGAGACAGAGCAGCCGUUGAUCAGCUGCUUUCCAUGCCAGAUAUUUGGUGCUGAGUGUGGUAGAAGUUUCUGGUUCAAAACGGGGUGGUGGAACAAGAGUUCCAUCAACGUAGGCCAACAGGUCUUGACUCUCAAGGAGAGGAAGAAGUUGGCUUUUCCAGAGAAGAUAAUUGGAGGAAGAAAGCUUGAUGGUGAUCAUGUGGAUUAGAGUGUUGAAAGGAAGAAGAUGAGAGGAUUCAGAAGCCAUGGAGAAAAAUGGAUUGGGGUUGCUAAACCAGAUUGGCUCUGAUACCAUAAGAAUAUUUGUCAAACCACCACACUUGAGAAGGUGGUGAGAGUUUUUUAUUUAUAAUUAUUUACAGAAUAUUACAAAUCAAAUAAUAUCAAACUGAUUACAAAAGAAAUGGAAAGUAGGAAAUAAUAUCAAACUAAUUACAAAGGAAUAGCAUGUAAUCAAGGAUCAAAUAUGAUACAUAUGGUAAAUUGUAAUGGAAAGGCUAAGUAUCCUUAACAAAGAUGGCUAUUAAUCGGAUGCUGUGAAGGUUUGACCACACUCAAACUGUCAUCUUCACUACAAAGAAUGGAGAAUUUAAGUACGGUGUUUUGUAGUACUUUGGAAAAGAUAAAAGUAGAUCUGGGAAAUGAAGGGAGGGAGGGGCCCGUACCAGAUAAUAUCAGAUACUCGAAGUUCCACAACCUUCUCAGGUAACCAUUGAAUUUUCCCAGAGUUGUUGGACUUGACAUGGCUUAUUUAUGCCCCAAGCCUACAGGAGCUUUAUGUGCAAGAGUGCUCAUCAAUGGAGCGAGUUAUGCAUGAUGACCAUGAAGUUUCAGAUAAGAAAAGCAUAUUCUCUAGACUCACAGCUUUAUGUUUGAGGAAUCUACCAAAUCUAAAGAGAAUCUAAGGGUGGGCCUUGGCAUUUCCUUCCCCGAAAGAGGUUCAUGUGACAGGCUGCCCAAAUCUGAGGAAGCUGCCAUUGGAUUCCAACAGCUCAACCAGUACCUUAAAGCAAAUUACAGGGGAAUCAAGCUGGUGGGAGGGAUUGCGGUGGGAGGAUGAAUCCUUAAACCAAACUUUCACUCUGUCUAUUGUAUUUGACGUUUGAUCUGGCCUAACGGCAUGGUGAUUGAAGAAGGAAGAUGGCGGAGAAGCGGCACCUAGAGUCAUAUAUAUAUCACGGAGUGAUCAUGGUCCCUGACGCCCAGUUACUCUCUUCGGAAAUGCUCUUCCUAGAUGGAUGUUAUUAUGCAUGUGUGUUUCAUCAUCUUUGUUUACGAAUUAAGACAAAUGUUAUUACUGUCUUCUUUGAACAGUUCUUUCACUAGCACGGGUUAACCUUCUAACUCACUCAACCUGCACAAGUCAGUGUCCUACUCCAUAACAUAACAUUAUUUUCAACAUUUGUCAUAAAUCGAUACCAAAUCUUUACAUUUUUAGGGAGGCAAACAGGUUGCACCUUUCAUCAUAAAAAACAGGACGAGCAUAAGGAGAAAUUACAGAGAAAAUACAAAACUCAAUUAAUAUCCAUGAUACAACAAGUGUAUAGAAGAACGUAUUUAAGUCUUUCUUUAGCAACCUCAAUCUCUAAGCUGGACAACUUCUUAUGUAUUUGUAAUUUUGUAACACUACUCGUCUUCCAUGGAAGCAUAGUUUCGGAUCACACCAUCCAAAGAAGCCACAUGAAAAGCUAGUCUUCCAUUUAGGACAACCACAUGAUCUUCUUCGAUUAUUAGCAAACGUCCAAGAUGUCUUAAAUUGAGCUGUCAAACCACAGUUGCAGAUUAUGUUCCAAUAUCAAUCACACAAAUUUCCAGUUAUUUUAAACGUGAUAUCUAUUAAUUGCAAAAUACGAUAACCUUUGAAAUCAACAUAUGGCAAACAUCCUAAAACCCACCGCACUAAAAUCCAUGAAACCUACAAAAUCCAUAAAAAAAUUGAAACGUAAGAACUUACCUUCACAGUUUGAGGUCACAGCAUGAGAAAGAGGGGACGAAAUUCCAUAGUGAGGUCCCAUUAUCACAAGAGGAAUUAUUUAGUGCCAUAAGCAUAUAAAAGAAUCUCGUCUUUCAUUGCUUAAGAAUAUUGAUAGACUAAAAAUAAGAAUGAAGAUGUAUAUAAUGCUGGAGAAAGCAACCUUUUAGUAUAGUAGUAUUCUAUAUAUAAGUGAAAUAUCAGAGUGAUUAUUCUCCUUUAAAAAGAAUCUUAUCCCAAUCAAACCACCUUUUUUUUACCUUAUCGGAUACUCAUUAAGAAGGAGAGUACUUCCGGUUCAAGGCUUUGACUUCAUACUCGCUUACACCCACGCCCUUAGACCCCUAAAAAGGCACUUAAGACUGCUUAGAAGGAAUUAGCAUUCGGUAUAAAGGAAAGGGAUAAAAAUAUACUUCUUACCUUUCAACUCCUGGCACUAGGGGGAACUACAGGUAGUGGUAUGAAGAUUAAGACUAGUUAGUAUACUGGUACACUCUGAUAAUUGAUCCCUGGAUUCCUGCAAUGAGAAUGAUUAUAAUGAUUAUGUGACCAAGUUUUUAGGCUGAUAUCAAUCUAAGACUCUUCUUUGUCAUAUGUAUUCUACUGGUUGUAAUUUUUUUACUUUCAUAUAUGAGUUUUUUUUUUCCUUUUGAUCCAAAAUCAUAACUUCUUUCUUUCUCCAUAACUCAGAAGCAAAGAAAGAAACUAUCCAUGUGAGGCUUUAUAGAGGUGAGUGGCACGCGACUUUGUUCCAUUAGCAUUUGACAAAAAGAAUUAUAAAAUUCUUAUCCACUUCGUUGAGAAAAGCAUCAACGAUGACCAAAUUUCAGAAAUUUGAAAUUGGUCGCUCCCACACAAAAAAGAGAAGGAGAGAGAGAGAGAGAGAGGAAAGGAAAGGAAAGUACCUAUAAGAUCAUGGAAGAGAAAGGUUAAUCUUGGAAGUAGUGAUUGAAAGUGUUCUUAAUGGUUUCAUUCUCCCACUGCAGCCUAUCCCACCACCAUCUUCUUCCUUUAAUUGUCUUCAAGCUGUAGGUGUCACUGUUGGAAUCCAACGGCAGCUUCCUUAGGAAUGGGCAAUGUUCCACCGAGAGGUCUGUCAGGGAAGUGAAUGGCAAGGCCCGUCCACAGAUGCUCUUUAGAUUAGGUAGAUAAUCCAAUUUGAGUACCCUGAGUCUUGAGAAUAUGCUCAGAUUUUGUGAAACUCCAGUCUCAUCUCGGAUCACUUCUUUCAUGGAAUAACAGUCAGUUACUUCAAGAACUUCAACGCUUGGGAUGUAAAUAAGCCAUGUCAAGUUUAACAAGUUUGGGAGUUGAUAAAUAAUUAUAUUACAAAGGCUGUGGAAGUUUGAGCCUGGGAUAUAAUCUACCACAAAUCCCCGUCUCCUCUCUUGUGUUGGAUCUACUUUUAUCUCUUCCAAAUCUCGACAUAUCCGUAUUUCAAGCGUCUGUAGAUGUUUCAUUCUUGGCAAGUGGAGUAAGGCCACACACUCCAGGUUCCCAAGGGUUAACCACUUCAUGGCAUUCUGUAGCUUUUGGGAGCUCAAUAAUAUUUGGAAAGAUGGAGCACCUUCUAUGGGAAAAGAGACCUCAUUUAUGUGUACCAAGGAUUCCAUCUCCUCUAAUAAUGCUCUGUUUUCAUCCUCCCAUAAAUACCUAGGUUUAUAAUCAUAAUCCUUGGCUUCCAACUCCUCGAAUAAAGCAUGACAAUCCUUUGAUAAAUAAUAAGCUUUCAACUCCUCAAAGAAUGCUUUAUUAUCAAAAUCAACUUUAUUAUUCUCCCAUGAAUCAUUAGCAUCCUCCAGGUUGAAUGAAUAAUGGGCUUCCUCUUCCUUCCAUUCAUGAACUCUUCUUAAGCUAAAUAAUUUCAAUGAUGAGAGAUUUAAUACUACUUCCUUGGGAAUUAUCUUAAGACAUGCCAUCCAAUCCAAUAGUAGACACCUUAGACUUGUCAAAGACUUGAGCUCCAUGGAUAAUUGGCUUAGGUUUGUUUUUGACAAAUUGAGAUAUUGUAAGGUAACUAAUUUGCCAAACCCAUCAGGUAACCGACUUAUGGAAGUGUGUGACAAAUCCAAAACUUUUAUUGCCGGCAGCAUGAGAUGAAAGAAUCCACUUGGAUCUACUUUCACAUUCUUAACAACGAAGGUUAAGAGAUUGGGAUAAGUUGUUGGCACCAUGAGGUAUUUCAUGCUAUUACUCCACAAUGAUAUCUGUUGCGUCUCUUGCCAAUUUGAAACUUGAUGGGCUUCCAAGGUAUCAUCUUCUACUACCAAAAUUUUGUUCUUGUUGCCACUAUAUUCUGAAGCUAACCAUAAAGCCAUAUCACGAAUAACAUCAUGCAUCUUGACUUGAUUGUCUUUAACACUCUCAAAUAGACACACUACCUUUAGAUGCUCAAUGAUGUUGCGCCCCUGGUUCUGUGCUUCAUGUAUGUUGUCAAAUUCAUCGAAAAACCCCUCUCCAAUCCAAAGGUUUAUAAGAUCAUCAUUCAUGAUUUCAUAAUCCUCUUGAAAUAUAGCAAGAUAUAGAAAACAAGACUUGAUGGUGUCAUUUUUCAAGUUAUCAUAACUGAAUUUUAGAAUCGGAAAUACAUGAUCUCCCAAACCUGAAAACUUUGAUGGAUAAGUCUUCAACAUUUGUAUGGCUCGCUCCCAUUCUUGUGGUGUGCUCUUGCCGACCAUAGCUCUCCCAAUAGUGAUGAGUGCAAGUGGUAAACCUUUGCACUCUUUAGCAGCAAUUUCGGCAAACUGGGGUAUAUCUGGAUGUGAAUUUAGAGUGGUCUCUCCAACCUUCUCCUUGAACAAAUUGAUGGCCUCCUCUUCUGUCAAACACUCAACCUUAAUGCUUUUUUGAGCUUCCAUAUCGCGACAAACAUCCAGAGAACGGGUUGUUAAUAUUACUUUGGACUUGUUUUGGGAAUUAGGAUAAGGAACCCCCACUUUUUGGAGAUCAAGCCGCUCCCAUACAUCAUCUAGCAGCAUCACAAACCUUUUUGCCUUCAAGACAUUGAAAAUUGCUAUUGCUUUUUCAUCCUCAGUUCUGUUUCUCCAUCUAUUAUCCGGGAUGUCUAACUUGUUGCGAAUGACUUCUUGUACUUUUUCCACACUUGCUGGCCUGGAUACUACGACCCAAAUGGCCACUUCAAAGUCAUUGCAUGUUUUGAAGUACUCAUUAUUGAUUUUGGUCAUGAUGGUAGUUUUCCCGGCACCCCCCAUUCCGUACAACCCAAUAAUUCCCAGCUCCUCAUCUUGGAUGCAUCUGCAAACCUCUGUAAACAUCAGAUCUAAGCCCACAGUCUUCUCCAUCGGCCUCUCAUCCACCGGAGCUUGAGGUAACCCAUCAGCCACAACAUCAAAGCGUCCCUUGCUCCUUAAUUCAGUCACAGCACCCAGCUUUUUACUCGCUUUCUUCCCGAGCUUGUAGCUGGACCGGCAGUUUCGGGGGCAACAAGUUUCAGGGCAUUUCUUCUGGAUUUCAUGAUCGCCUUUCUCCAGGAUCUCGUUGACUUCUAGUUCCAUGGCUAGGACGCUAUGGAACCAGCCGUCCACUUCAUUUGUGCGCUUCAUUUGCCGUUGCUCUUCAAGUUCAACUCUUCCCUUCACAUCUUCAUAUACAUUCUUCAGCUCCUGCAUUGCGUUUCUUAAAGACUCCAUAUUUUCCUGCAGAUCCCUGAUGUAGACUGCAUGCUUGGCUGUGCAGUUCCAUACGCGAGUUACAACAUCCAAGAUUGGGCUCACACAAUCCAUUCCUUGCCUUGAGAGAUGAAAGAAACAAGAGGUGAGAUUCAAGAAAAGAAGAGAAAGUGGGAGAGCAGAGAAGACUUGUGGUUGUCGAAAACAGUUCAAUCUCUCCGAUUAAGGAAUUCCAAUAUGGGUGAUCGCAUUAUUGCUAGUUACACUGUUGGAGGACACCCCUGACCCCACCUCCGACAUAACUUCAAUAAUUUUAUUCAAAGGCUGCUUUUCCACGCAAUAUCAUUUUCUUUUCAGAGUGUCGACUUUACUUUCUGAAAAGACAAGGAAGUUUCAUAUCAAGAUCCCAUAGUGUUUCCUGUUAUGAGUCCCUGGUCACAUUCUGGGUGUGAUUAAUUAGUCAGAGUUUUAGCUCUUCACUUGUGGUUGUCAAAAACAGAUCAAUCUCCCUGAUGAAGGAAUUCCAAUUCGCAGUGUGGACUUUACUUUCCAAAACGAAAAAAAAGUUUGAUGUCAAGAUUCCAGAGUGUUUCUUAUUUUGAGUCCCUGAUCACAUUAUGGAUCUGAUUCGUCUGGGCUUUAGCAUUUCAAUAUAUCAGACUGCUCCUCAUCCCUUUGAAGUGAUUGAUCAAGGGAGGCUAUUGGUUAUUAAUGGAGCUGAAUAUGCAAUCCUUUGGAAGGCGUUGUGCUGUGCAAUGACAUCUGAUAAUGGUGAUUAGUGGCCCACAAUCUUGAUUAAUGGUGGCGAAAGAGAUAAGGCCACUACCAUUCUCCUGUCCCACAUUACUUCAAUAAUGCAAAGUAACGAGUACUCCACUACUCACCAGUUUCAUUAAGCUUCUAUUCCAAAUCUAUUAUUUCCCCUUACCUACUCUGCUUCAACUAUCAUAUUUAAUCAAGUAUUUAAUAAUUUAAAAUCAAAUUAUUAAUUAUUUGUUUCAUUUAUGAUCUCCAUAUCAUAUUAUGAUGGAUCAGGUCACCCACAAAAACGAAGAAAUAUGAUUGAAAACUGAAAUUACUAAGAGAUUUCUACAAUGAAAUGUGAACAAAUUAAGUGAAAUUUGAAUUGAUCUUCAAAAAUAGGUUCCCAUGAACAAAAACUAACCCAAAUUUAUUGGAGCAAAUGUCCGAGCUAAAAGAAUGUAAACAAAGUUGAAAAUGGAUUCACCAUUACCAUCUUCAAGGCUUCAAGAAUAAAAAUUAAAAUUUUCAUAAUAAUGCUUUAAAGCAAGCAUUUUUUCAUAGUUAUGUGAAAUAAUUUUUAAAAUAAACAUGCAUGGGACCAUAUAGUUGUAAUUCAGUUUAAUUGGAAAAAAAAAUCAGGAGACAUAAAUAUUAAGUCUUUUUGCUUAAGAUGUUUUCUAUUUUAUUUUCAAAGAAAAAAGAAAAUAAAUUGGAGAAUAUUGUUAGGGAUCCAUCUACAUUAUUAAAGUGUAUUUUUUUCUAUAGGUAUCGAAAGACAUCAUUGAUAAGGUGGUGACACAUAUACAUCUUCAAAUCGGUUUUUUUAUUUAAUUAUUCUAAUCAUAUUUAUUUAUAUUUUUAUACAUUAAUCUCAUUUAUUUGUACUCUUAUUUGAUGACCUUGAUUUUACCAUACACAUUCAAUAGUUUAGAUUUAGAGUUCAAUAGGUAUAUAUAUUAUAUGUUUGGAUACUUAGUUUCUGUUUCUAUUUUUUAGGAAAUUGAGUUAUAAGUGAAAAUAAUAUUUUGAUGUUUUUGAAAAUUUUUAAAUAAAAUGAAAACAGUCUUCUCAUAAGUAAAAGGAUAAAAAUAAAUAAAAUAAUUUAAAGUUUGAGAUACUUCCCAACAUUGAUUGUUGGGUGCUUCAAAUUCCUUUUGCGUUUGAAUUGCUUUAUUUUAUGUUUUUUUUUCAUUAAUACGUUUACUUUGAUACCUUUGUUGACACAACAAUUGGUCCCCAAGCCCAGGUUAAAAUUUGUGAAAAGCUCAAAAGGAACACAAAAACACAAUACAGAAGAAAUUUUAGUUGAAUGUGUAGUCAAUUGUCCUCUUGUAAAGAAGUGAUAGAAAGAUUCAAUUAUGUUUUUCAUCUUCGCAUUUUUUAAAGAUUUAAGGAUAUUUUGUAGAUUAAAGAUAGAAACUGCUUGUUUGAGUUUUAUUCUGAUUCACCUAUAUUUAUUUAAUAAAAUAAAAAAGUAAAUAAAAUUUCUAUCGUCUAUGUAUGAAGUCAAUUUUUUUAUAAAAAAAAAUCAUAUCAUGACCGGUUUUAACAAGAUCAUUAAUCUAUAUCUAAAAUCAUCAAAUUUUCUAAAUUAUAUAUCAUUAUAUAACCUUAAUUUCUAUUAAAAAGAUAAUAAAUUAGUAUGAGUGAAAUAAAAUUCUAACAUUCCAUCAACGAUAAAUACAGCUAAAAAUAGUUAAAAGAAGCUAAAAAUUUAAAUUGUUCCAUCAUUUUAUCUUUAAUAAUAUAAUAGUGAACAAAUGAUAAAAUACAAAUGUAUCAAUAUUUUGUAUUUUAUAAAGUAAAAAGUGAUUAAUAUUUUAUUAUUAAAAAAGAUCAAUCAUAUAUUAAAGAGAGAAAUAUAAUUUUAUUAUUUAUUUAUUUAUUCUUUCUUUAUUAACUUUAUAUUUUACAAUUUUUAUUCACAUUUUAUUAAAUUUACAGCUUUAUGAUUUUGUUGUUUGGUGAUGAUAUAAAUAUGUGUAUAUAUAAGCAUAAUCAAAGUCAACAUGGCAUAAAUGGUUAUGGUCUUAAUCCUCUGCUUGUUUGAAUUAUUUAAUAGCAAAUUGAACUAAUGAGGCCCAAUUUCAAAUUUCCAUUUUCUAUGGCACAUAAUAUAUUUGGAUUACUUAUUAGAAAUGAAAAUAAAAAUAAAAUAUUCAUUUUCAUUGAAAUCAAAACACAUUCAUAUACGAUUCUCUUUUUCACAAGGUAUCUAGCUUCACCUCUAUUUUCAUUUCAAUCCUCACACAUCAAACAUUCCCAAACAGUUUCAAGGGCAAGGGUAUUGAGGCAUGCUCAUUUCCUAUGGUGUUAUAAUAUGAACUAAAAUUCUCUAAAUAUGUCAUGAGAUGGAAGGACAUACGCUCGAACCCCUUUAAUGUAUGUGCUUUCAAAAACUAGAUUGGUGAAGUAUUAACUAAAAUUUAUUUCAAAUCCCAAGUUGAGAAAUUGUCAUUCUAAAUACAAACACUCCAAUCCAUUAAAGCGAAUAAAAAUUAUAGUAGCUUCAUGGUAUACAAUCCAAAUAUACAAGAGUUCUUUUCACUCAUCUUUACACACAAUAUAAGCACAAAGGAAUUUUUAUUUUAUUUUUUGUCUCUUUGGAUGAUUAUUUCUGCAAUCCACCAUGUGCACACUUAGCAUCCAGAAAUUCAAACAUUUGCAAGAAGUUUCAGUUGAGUCCGACCAUUCUUCAAAAUCUUAUCCUACAAAAACAAAAACAUAAAUCAGUUGGAUCAUUGGCCUAUAAUCUAAAUAAAAAAAAAUUAAGUGAAUCUAAAUAUUUAACUUACAUGCAAACAACAAUUCAUGAACGUUAUCAAUCAUAACAAAUUCUAAUAAGUAGUUGUAAAGGAUACGUGUAAACUAGAGUUAUUUACAAUUUAUAUAAUGGAAAUGUAAACAAAUGAAUUCAAAUUUAAAGUAAUAUUCAGAAAUAUGUACCCAUAAACAAACAACUAAUCCAAAUUCUUUAGAAUUGUAUGCCCAAAUUAAGAUGAUGUAGACAAAGUGUAAAAUAAGUUCAUUUUUAACAUUUUCAUAAUAAUUCACCAAAGUAGGUAUUUUCAUAGUCUAAAUUCCUCAAGAGUAAAAUAAUUUUGAAAAUAAACAUGCAUGUAAGAGAUGGUUUUAAUUAAGUUUCAGUGUAAAAAAAAUAAAAAUAAAUAAAUUCAAGAGACAUAAAUAUUAAGUCCUUGUCUCUAGAAAAAAUAAUAAAUAAAAAGAUCGAGAUUAUAUUAAUGAUGCAUCAAGUAUGUUAUUGGAUCCAAAAGUUAUGUCUUAAUCUGUUUUACAAACAUGUAUUUUAGGAUAUGAAAGAGAAAAUAGGAUCAACAUUAAGAAAAGUUAUUUUGUUUGGAGUUUUAUUAAUAGUUUCUUUUUUAAACUAUAACUAAAUUCAUUGGGGUGAGUUAUGCGUGAGGUAAGGAAAAAAACUAAAACAAAAGUGGAAAUAAAAAUAAAUUUUAUCCACUUAUAACAGAAAAACAUGAACAUGAAGACACAUGAGACAUUUGAAACUUUGUCCCAAAAAAGAAGGCAGUACCUGCGAGAGGAUGGGAGAAGAAGGUCAUCUUCUCAUUUCUCCUCCGGAUCGCAUUUAAGUAGGGAGUGAAAGUGAGUUGAAUGGUUUCAUCCUCCCACUGCAACCCUCGCCACCACUCUGAUGUCCCUUCAAUUAUCUUUAAACUGUUUCUUGCACUGUUUGAAUCCAAUGGCAGCUUCCUUAGGUUUGGGCAUUUCGUCACACGGAGGGUUUUCAAGGAAGGAAAUGGCAAAGCUCGUCUGCUGAUGCUCCUUAGAUUUGGUAGGUAAUGCAAGGUCAAACCUUCAAGUCUUGAGAAUAUGCCAAGAUUUUCAGGGACCUCA
rnacentral:lncRNA from 1 species